rnacentral:lncRNA from 1 species
AUAGGAAAGUCCUUGGGUUUCGCCAUCACUGUAGUCCAAAAUCAACUUGCCGCUGUUCCGGGUGUCAUCGUAAUCGUGCGAAUUGAGACAGUAAGCAAACUUCUUCACACCCAUCUGCAUCGGCAACGAGAACAUUGUGCGACCGAACCCCGCAAGUGCGUCAGAAGAAGGUUCACGGUCAGCGGAUGUUGUACACCCAACAAGAAAUUUAUGAAUUGUUUUCCCGGGAAAGUCGAGGUUUUCUAAUAGAAAAAACCCAGAUGCUGCUCCUGUGCCAUACUGAAGAGUGUAUUGUGGGCAAGCGUGGGAGCAUUUUUUGGAAUUGCCAUUGCAGCGGGGGCACCCGAGGUGAACAUCUGGGGAGGAAGUGUUUGCACAUUUGGGAUCUCUGCACCCCAAGAUCUUAUCAGAUGACGAAAGUUCGGGAUUGAAGAUGGGGACCUUUUUGGGGUUUGAAAAAGAACAGUUAGUGCAUGUGUAGUGAGUUGUGCACGGGGCCCAUACUACAUGACUUCCUGUGUCCACCAGGAAGGAGAGUUUUUGUGGAGGAGUGCCGAAGCUGAGAGGGAUGGUGUGACCUCCAUGACUAUGAGGAAAAAGAGAGGUUUGUAUGAGAGGGCUGGCCUUCCCAUGUUUCAAAUGAUGGGAUCUGGACAUGGAUGCAGUGGCAAGGUGUUGGAGAAACAGCAACGGUUCGGUAGAUGGGUUCUUUGUAAAUGUUGGUGUUAGAGGGAUGGUAAUGGUGGCAGGUAUGUUAUUUUUGGAGGAAGAUGCCAAGACAAGGCGAGAGAAGAGAGUAAAGACAGAGAAAAGCAAAGUAGUAAAAGAAGCCAUAGCUGUGUAGCUUCAGAAGCGCACACCAGUGAAAGUGGUAGAGAGAGUCGUUUAUAUAGACAAUGACAAGCGUGAUUUAUAUGUAGUUAUUUUAAAAUCCAUUGUCAAUUUUAUAUGGGAUUUUCAAAGUGCAGAGAAACAAAUGGAGAUUUGUCUUGUAAAAAAAUUAGUAAAAAGAUUGUUUGUAAAAUAAAUACAAAAAUAUGAAUUGUCUUUUUUUUUCUUUUCUGGCAUUGAAUAUGAUCCGGUCCUACCCAUCUUACAUUCAUACCCACUGGGCCCAAGCCUACUCCUGAAAUAUCAAGAUCGGAUGGAUAAAAGUCUCCCAUUCUCAUUUUGGUUUCUCCCUUCAAUCCUUUUCUGUGUUUUUUUUUUUUUUUUUAACUUGUUCUGAAGUUGUCUUGGUUCUAUUUUUCCAACCUUAACAUUCGAAGGGUAUGAUAUGGGUUUAAUAUCCGACUCCACCUUUCCCUUUGUAAUCUCAGAUAUCCUGCACGCUUUACACUUGAUAUUGAUAAUUUUAAUCACAUAAUCCAGUUUUAGUUGUUUAAUCUAAAAAUGUUUUCCAAUAUUUGAGUUCUUUAGAGUGCAUUUGAUAGUGAUUUUGAAAAAUGUUUUUAACAUUUUUAAUACUUAAAAAAUAAAAAUCUUUAAAUAUUAGAAAAACUAAAAACACUUCCUAAAAUCAUUGUCAAACGCACUCUUAAUCUGAAAAUAUAUGAUAUAGGUCACUAUCAAUACAAACUUGGGGCCACAUGUGUUCCCUCCCACCAAAAUUGGUAUAUAUUAUAGAAUUAAUUCAUCAAUACUUAUCAUAUUUAUGAAUUUAACCAUUCCUAUAUUUUUGUUUGAAGAAUAACCAUUUUUUGACGUAUUUGUCCUUGAUUAUUUCAAAUAUUUACGUAUAUGUUUUAAAAGAAAAAAAUAUUUUUAUAAGAAAAAAAUAUUUUUAUAAGGAAAAAAUGAGGAUAUUUUUAUCAAAAUGAGACAAAAAAUGAAUGAAGGGAUUAAAUUUCCAAAACUAGGUUUUCAAUUACUCUUUUAAUUAAAUAACUCUCUAUUAUAUAAGACUACAAAAAAGUGGAGGAAGGGAAUAGUCUCAUUUAGUUACCUAGUAAAUGAGGAUUGAUUUAAUUUUUUUAAAAAAAAUUAGCAAGAAUAAUAAGCCUAUACUUGCCUCUUACUAUUGCCUUAAAUAUAAACUAAAAUUCAAACAUUUUCUAUUAAUUUUAUUAUUGAUAUCGUAAAUAGUACAAAAAUUCAAGUUUUGAUAUUAUGUUGAAUUACCAAUUUUUUUAAUAAAUAUGCAAACUAGGGAGAAGUGAUUCAGGACCUCCCACCCAUACCCACGAGUGGAGAAAUAGAUCAAGGUGUUGACUAAUAGACUUAAAAUGGUAAUGAACAAAAUGAUUUCAAAGUCCCAAAAUGUCUUUGAGACAUAUUUUAGAUGUAAUAUUGAUUACAAAUAAGGCUCAAAGUUGAAAAACAAUAAAAGUGGUGUCUUAUCGAAAAGGGUAUUGCCAUGUGAAUUGGAAGUUUUUGUUUGCGGUGCUGAGAAAUAUGGACUCCUGGUAAUUGAAGUCCCACUAACAAAAGCUAGCACAAGGGAAUCAUCAUCCUCACUCUUUGUGGACGCAGGACUGCCUCACGAAUGAAGAUAAGAUAUCCACCUUCCCACGUUUCUUGUAUUGAUAUUGACGUCAUCUUCACGUUUACCGAAGGUACUCCAUUCCUCUUCUCGAAAUCUAUGACUAAAAAAGGUGAGGAUAAGAAGAUGCAACAAUGUUUACAUAUGGUUAUAGGCUUGUAGCUGCUAAGCAUGCUUGGCAAAAUUUAGCCCUAUUUGCCAAUGGGCCUUCAGACGGAGAGAUGGGUAUUUGUCAAAAUAGGCUACAGAUUUUUAAUUCUUUUAGCCAUGCGUUCCAGAACAAUACAGAAUGUGGUAGACAACAUUAGCCAUCAGUUUCCCAUAUAAAUGGAUGUCAUCCUCAAAUCAAUUCUUCUUGUACUUUCUUUGUGAUUCCUACAAUUAGAACAACAUGGCAUGAGUAUUCAUAUAAAUGAUCAGUAUGAAUGGAGAACGGAAUUUUGAAUGAUAAUAAGAGAUAUUCAGGUAUGGUCCCAACUAGACUAGUAGUGCUUGUAUGAGUGUAGACCACUUGGGUCUCAACAUCCUCACUGCUCGCUACCUCACGUGGAUCACGAUUGUUGGAAUGCAUAUUUUUUGUGAGCUUCAUGUUUGGGGUUAGCCCUUUUAGUUACUUCUAAAUUGAAGUCAUUUUAAAAAUAAUCUUAAGAUAAAUUUUAAAGUCUAAAGUUGUUUCUUUAAUACAAGUGACAUUAAACUCUAGUAUUUUUGAAAAAUAUGUUGUAUAUGAAACGGAGGAAGCUGAGACAUACUCGAAGGGAUUUGGCCAUAAGUCCACGACAUCAUAUUUCUAGCACUACACGUUACGACAUAAUUUGCACCCGAGGGCCCCAGCAUCGUACGUAUGGGGAAAGUAUAACAUUACAUUGACCCCACAUCUCACUUCCAGUGGCUCACAAGCCUCCACCUGUCUUACCUUCGAUGCGGUCACGGUCAUCAGCUCGCUUUCUGCCUUGUUCUACUCAAUGUUACCCCACAAAGAAUAUUGGAAUUUGAAAAGCACCCGAGGUGAUUUAAAAAGUUAUUUUUAAAUCUACAAUAUUUGGAGUAAAUCUAAUUGAAAGUUGUUUUUAAAGUUAUGUUUUGAAUUUUUUUUUCAUAUUUACACUGAAAUUUUCUUUUUAAAAGAUAAUUAAAAUAUCCUAAAUUUGAAAAUAAUUUUUUAAAUGUUAUAUUUUAAUAAAUAUUUCAGUAAAGAAAAAUAAUAUUUUUGUGAAAAAAAUAUGAUAAACAAUAUAUACAAUAAGCAAAGUCAUCAGUCAAAAAUGGUCCCAAAAACAAAUGCCGCAUCGCGGAGCAUGACAGUUACCCCGCCCCUUACGUUGCGGACAAAGCCAAAGAAGUUGAUUAUAAAGCCAACGAAGUGAUUUAGCGGAGGAGCGACCACUAACAAAAGUUGAAACUACCAAAAGCAGAAAUGUGAAUAUGUGAUGGUGGCGUGGUCAUCUUCCUCACUAUCGAUGCAACGUCUCCUUCUUUUACCUCUAGUGCUGCCCUGCUCACAUAGAUUAUUUUCGUUCCUGGGCCAUCCAUUUUCCAUAUCAGAAUAAUAACCUGUCAAUUCAUAAAGUUGCCGACUUUUUCUCUACUGGACAUUCUAACCUAAAAUAGAGAGUUGGAUUUUAUUUGUGGCUUUUUUUUUUCUUUUCUUUUUUUUUUUAAUUUUUAAUUUUAAUUUGGAGUCAUUAUUGGAGUAAGAUAUCCAAGUUAGAUGGUCUUGUCAUUAUAUUUAUAUAUGUUACCUGUGAGGUACUUGGAACCUACACCAUUUUAUGUCCUAUAAAUCAUGUGCCCUAAAAAGCUUUAGCAUAUACCAUAUUUGAAUACCAAUUAAAUAUCAUGUCAUUUUGCAUAUACAAGACUUUAUUGAUCCAACUCCAACCUCGCACUCAUGUAAACAUGGAUAUAUCCAACCAAUUCGACAGGGUAGAAAUUUUAUUAUGGGGUAAAAUGGGAAAAUCAUAAAUCAUAAUAAUAUUAGAUAGAAUUUCAGAUUUUAAAAUCAUUAUUUCCAGUAUCAUUCAAAAAAAAAGUAUUUAUUAAUAUUAAUUUAUGUAAUUUUUUUUAUAAUAUAUCAAAUUAAAUAACAUAAAUACUAAGAAAUAUGAACAAAAAAAGCUUUUGAAAUUAUGGUGGCUUCUCCAUUAGGUUACAUCAUAGGUUCAAACCAUCGAACUUUGGCACAUAAAAUGUUGUGAUAGACCUAAUUAGGUCACUAAUUUCUUUUACAUUUUAUUUUCAAAAUUACUAGUAAAUUUAAAAAUAUAAAAAAAUGUGUCAUUCUUUUUCAUUUUUUAUUAUUUUAACAAAAUUCUAUUUUUAUUCAUAUUUGAUUUCAAAUGCGAGGAUAUUAAUGAGCUUUGAGUAUCAUAUAGAAUUUCAAAUAUAUUGUGAAUCCAAAAAUUAAAAUUGAAUUAUUGUAAUUUCCAAUCAAAAUUCAUUAUAACUCACUAGUUUACUAAUCUUAGAAAUGAAUGAAACUUUCUAUGCAUAGGGACUUACAUGUAAAAAGAGUUAUGUCAUCCUUUAUUGGUAUGGACGCGGCUGCCCAAUUUUAAAAUUCAGUAAGUUAUCAUUGUCACGUUAAUUAUUCUUCCUUCUCAUGCACCCCACAAAACAAUAAACAACAUAAUUUGCCUCAAGUUAUAGAAGCGCGACUUUUUUUUUUUCAAGAUUACUAGUAAAUUUAAAAAUAUAAAAAAUAUGUCAUUCUUUUUUCCUUUUUUAUUAUUUUAAUAAAAUUCUGUUUUUAUUAAUAUUUGAUUUCAGAUGCGUUGAUAUUAAUGAGCUUUGAGUAUUAUAUAGAAUUUCAAUAUAUUGCGAAUUCAAAAAUUAAAAUUGAAUUAUUAUAAUUUCCAAUCAAAAUUGAAUUAUUAUAAUUUCCAAUCAAAAUUCAUUAUAACUCACUAGUUGGCUAAUCUUAGAGAUGAAUGAGACUUUUCAUACAUGUGUGUAAAAAGAGUUAUGUCAUCCUUUACUGGUGUGAACGCAACUGCCCAAUUUUAAAAUUCAGGGUUGUCAUUGUCACAUCAAUUAUUCUUCCUUCUCAUGCACCCCACAAAACAAGAAACAACAUAUUUUUUUUUUGUCACAUCAAUUAAUUGAUUUUUUUUUUCAAGAUUACUAGUAAAUUUAAAAACAUAAAAAAUAUGUCAUUCUUUUUCCUUUUUUUAUUAUUUUAAUAAAAUUUUGUUUUUAUUAAUAUUUGAUUUCAGAUACGAGGAUAUUAAUGAGCUUUGAAUAUUAUAUAGAAUUUCAAAUAUAUUGCGAAUCCAAAAAUUAAAAUUGAAUUAUUGUAAUUUCCAAUCAAAAUUCAUUAUAACUCACUAAUUCACUAAUCUUAGAGAUGAAUGAGACUUUUCAUGCAUAUAUACUUACAUGUAAAAAGAGUUACGCCAUCCUUUACCAGUGUGGACGCCGUUGCCCAAUUUUAAAAUUUAGUAGGUUAUCAUUGUCACAUCAAUUAUUCUUCCUUCUCAUGCACUCCACAAAACAAGAAACAACAUAAUUUGCCUCAAGUUAUGAAAGUGAGACUUUUUUUUUUUGUCACAUCAAUUAAUUGAAUUUUUUUUCAAGAUUACUAGUAAAUUCAAAAAUAUAAAAAUUAUGUCAUUCUUUUUCCUUUUUUAUUAUUUUAAUAAAAUAAUGUGUUUUAUUAAUAUUUGAUUUCAGAUGCGUUGAUAUUAAUAAGCUUUGAGUAUUAUAUAGAAUUUCAAUAUAUUGCGAAUCCAAAAAUUAAAAUUGAAUUAUUAUAAUUUCCAAUCAAAAUUUAUGAUAUCUCACUAGUUUGCUAAUCUUAGAGAUGAAUGAGACUUUCCAUGCAUAUAUACUUAUAUGCAAAAAAAAAAGUUACGUCAUCCUUUACAACACGAUUGCCCAAUUUUUAAAUUCAAUAAGUUGUCAUUGUCACAUCAAUUAUUUUUCCUUCUCAUGCACCUCACAAAAUAAGAAACAACAUAAUUUGUCUCAAGUUAUGGAAGUGGGACUUUUUUUUUUGUCACAUCAAUUAAUUGACUUUUUUUUUUUUGUGCUUUGUUUUAGACAAGGUCGAAAAUAUCAGAUAAGGACGAAAAUAUUGAGAGAUAUCGGUCAUGGCCCUCCACGGAAAAAAUCACCAAAAUUUUAGCUAUAUAUCGAUGAUGUGUAAUGUCUAAAGUUUUGCAAAUUUUUAAUUUUAGUAUAAUGGGCCAAAGGCAUUAGGCCCAGCCCGCCUACAGUAGUGGACGUGUGCUGCGUAAGGUAACACCUUACAUAGAGACUAUAAAGCUUUCAAUCUCUCAACGUUUCAAUGUGUAUGUAUGUGUUUAAAAUUGUUUAUAUAUAUUAUACAUUAUAAUAUAUUUUAUAAAUUAAUUAAACUAAAAUUAUUAUAAAUAAUUACCUUAUAAUAUAUUUUGAAUACUAAUUAAAUAUAAAAUCAUAAAUAAAAUUAUCAAUAUUUUUAAAUAAAAAUAUUUUAUAUAAAAAUAUCCAAUGAUAUUUCUCCGAUAUAUCUCAUGUGUUCAUAAAAUUCAAGUAUAGUAUAUCUUUAAUUACCAAUAUUUUCAUCUUUUGUUUUAAUUUAUCUUAAUGCCUUAAAUAGAGUAUUUGAUUUUAUUUUAUUUUUUCAAUUGAACAAUAAAAUAAAAAAAAAAUAAAAAUAAAAAUAAAAAUAUGAAAGAAUUCAAUUUAAAAAAAUAAAAAAUUAAAUAUAAUAAAGAUUACUCAAAAUUAUGAUUAUAUUUAGAAAAUGUUUUUAAAAAUGGUUAUGAAAAAUAAUAGUUGACAAUUAUUUUUUUAAAUUAUUUUAUGAUGUUUUUAUAAGAAAAGUUUAUUUGAGAAUAUUUAAAAUAAUAUAAACUUAUUUUUAUAUAUUUUUAAAAUAAUAUUUAUAUAUAAUAAUUUAUUUUUUAAUCAUUCUUUAUAUUUAUAUAAUUAUUUAUUAAAAUUGUUGUGAGAAAAUAAGUAAAAACAAGUAAAAUAUGUUAUAUAUAAUCUUAUUUUAUAUUUUUAAAAAUUGAAAACCGUAUCCCAUUUUUUUUUGUUACCAAAUAUGUUUUCCUUUUUUUGGUUCUUGAAAACAUAAAAUUAUCUUUGAAAUAACUUCCAACAAACCCUACACAUUUCAAAGUUUUUUAAUAAAAAGAUAAAUUUAAAACAACAUGUACAAAAAUUUUAUUUAAUAUAACCCUAUUUUUUAUAGUUUCCUUUACACUUAUCAUCAUGGCUUCCAAUUUUAAUUACAAUUAUGAAUGGUAAGAGGCAAUUGAAUUCAAUGUACUACAGGUACAUUAUGUACUAUUUUAUCCAACAUUAACUUCUAGAAAUAUUUUAUUAAAAUAUGAAAUAAUACCUAUAUUUAAGAAAAUAAUUUUCAUAUAUUAAAAAUUAUACACAUUACUAUUCAAUAAGAGAUUAAAAAUUAUAUAUAUAUUGUUUUUAAUAAUCCAAUAAGCCUAAAUUCUGCAAUGUAGAGUGAUAAAUAUAAAUAUGAAAUACUAAAUUCAUAUUUAAGAAGAGUAGUAUUUUAUUUAGACAUGAGAUUAGAAACUGCUCCAACAAUACAAACAUGUACUUAAUAAAAGCUGAGAAGUUUUGACAAAAAAUAUUACGUUUUAAAUAAUCUAUAAAGUAAAUUAAAAUACAAAAUAAUGUCCAAUUUAGUGCAUUAGGGCCCUAUAUGCCUUCAUGUCAUAAAAUCGAAGUUGGUAAUUAUGAUUUAUAAUUUUUUUUUUUUAAAUGGUCAAAAUUGUAGUCAUCAACCAUGAAUUAACUUUAAACUUAAAAUCGUAGUUGAUAACUAUGACUUUGACCAAUUUAAAAAAAUGUUCAAAGCCAUAGUCACCGUGGUUGGUAACUAUGGCUUUGAACAUGAUUUUAAUUUAAACUAAAUAAAUUUAAAUUCACUCACUAAUUAUCUUUCUAUGUAAUUCCAUUUCAUAUAUCAACAAUAUCCUACCAAUGUUUGAAAUAUCAGUAAACAUGGAUAUAUUAACAAUAUCCGACCAAUGUUUGAAAUAUCAGUAAAUAGUAAAAAUUCAAAAUUCAAAAUUAUUAUUCAAUAAUUAUUUGAAGAAAAUUAUUCAAAAUUCAUGAAAAUAUUUGAAAAAACUUCAAAAAUGAUAAAAUAAAUAAAAAUACACAUGUUAAAGUUAUUUUUUAAGUGUAAUUGAUAUAUGUAUGGUUAAAGAGAAAAAUAUCGAUAAGUAAGGAUAUGUCAGUAUUAAUAAUUUAUUAUUUAUUUAAUCAAAUUAAUUUUAAUUUAUAAAAUAUUUGAACUUAAUUAUUUUUUUUAUAUUUUAGUAUUUUUGAAUCAUUUUUAAUAUUUUAAAAUAAAAAUAUUCAAAAUUAAAUAAAAUUAAAAAGAUAAAUAUAAAAAAUUUAAAAGUGAAGUGGUAGUAAUUUUUUUAAAAUAGGAUUAAUGAGAUAAUGAUGAUACAUUUAUGUAGACCCCCUUUAGAGAGCAAGGACGUUUAGUUUUUUUUAAGGGAUUUUUUUAUGGCAUGGGGGGGCCCUUUUUCUGCUGAAGGGAAGCCGGAUUAGACGUGCAAGCAUGGAUGGCCAGAUGGGUAGUUGAGGAAGCCAUGCUGCUGAUGUGAGGAACAACAAACGGAGGAGUGGCUUGCCAAGGAAGAUAGGAACAGGGGAUGAGAGAGAAAAGAAAAAAGAAAAGGAGUUUUAGCGGGUAGAGGAAGUAGAGAGAUCGAGUGAGGAGCUGGUGCGAGAACAUGGGGGUACGGCAGAUUUCGAGAGAGAGAGAGGUACCAGAGGAGCAAGGGGAGAAAGCAGAGGAGCUUUUAAAAUCUGGCUGGUAGAGGAGGCAGAGAGGGCGGUAAGAUAAGUGAGCUUCAUUGGAAAGGAGUUUCACAGGUAUGGAGUAUCGUUUUUUUUUUAGGGUCUUCCUCAUUAUCAUUGUUCCUCAUCAUCUUUUCUUACUACUUAAGCAUUGUUAGUUUGUCUGGUUGUAGAUUGAGUUUUGCUGAAUUUGAGUUUGUUUUUAUGCUUGCUCUGUUUUGGUUCUUUUCUGCCCUCUUUGAUUUCUCCUGUCAAUAACUGAUGUAUGGAUUGUUUUUGAGCUUGAUGUUUGAUUAAUCAUGCCACUGCUCUCUACUUGUCUCACCUGUUUAGACCCAUUAAAUGUAGCAUGAGAUGGAGUCUUAAUUAACGGACUUUGAGUGUGCUCUGUUUCUUGAGCCUUCCCCUUUUGCUUUUGAAAAAUACCAACCAUUAUUAUGUAAACUACCUGAAAGUCCCGGGACUAUGGUAGUAUAGGAUGGAAGUUUGAGGCAUCAUUUAGGUUGCGGAGCCUUCUAGAUUUUCGCCAGCACCAGUCAGCAUGUUCAUUGCUGACACACAAGCUGAUAAGCUUCAUGGAAAUAAUGUCCUCGGGAGGGAGGUCCGGCGAGGAGGAUGAAAUUCUUCCAUAAGUGGCAGCCACUGUGACAUGUAAAAGAUUAAAAAAAAAAAGUGAAAAGUGGCAAUUCUAAGGUGACCUGGGAAUCACCAUAAGUGGCAUAAACAUGUGACCAAAUUUGAUUCCUACAAAUUCUUUUUUUUUUUUUUAAAAACGAUCCUUAAAGUCCCGGUUUUUUUAGAUAACAUGUCAAGUCCAAAUUUCAAAUGACAACUAAAAAUUCGCAUUUCCGAAACUCCGUUUUUUUUUAAAAGAAAAGAAAAAAAAUUAUUUCUUCAAGAUUCAAUUCUCAACAUUAUUUUCUAAAAUCAUAAUUUUAAAUUUAACUUUCCAAGGUUCAAACUUUUAAAUUCAAUUUUUCAAAAUCUCGACUUCCGAAUUUAAUUUCUCUCCAUUUCUUUAAUUAUUUAUUUUUCAUUAUCAUUAUUCUAUUAAUUUAUUAAUUUAUUUAUUUUAAAAUUCCAUCCUUAGACAAUUUAUCAAAAUCCCGACUCCCGAAUUUAAUUUCCCGUUUCAGAAUUUCUAAUGUUCACUAAUCAUUUAUUUUCGUUAUUAUCAUUCCGUUUAUUUAUUCAUUUUAAAAUUAUAUCUUUAAACAAUUUUUCGAAACUCUUAUCUCCAAACUUAAUUUCCUAUUUUCAAAAUUCUAAUUUUCACAUUUAUUUAUUUAACCAUCAUUUCGUUACUAUUAUUAUUAUUAUUUAUUUAUUUAUCUAUUUCUAAAAUUCCAUCCUUAAAUAAAUUUUUCAAAUUUCCGAUUUCGGAUAUUAAGUUCUGGGCUUCAAAAAUUCCACUAUUCAUUUUUUAUUCGUUUAAAUAUUAUUUCGUUAAUUAGCAUUAUUAUUCCAUAUUUAUUUAUUUAUCCAAUCAUUAUUAUUUUCGUUAUUUUACUCAUUUAUUUACUCGGUUGUUCGUUCAUUUAAAAUUCCAUUCCUAAGUAAUUCAUCAAAUUUCCAAUCCUUAAGUCCAAUUCCCAAUUUCCCAUACCCCUAACUUCCGCAAUUAUUUAUCCAACCAUUAUUACUUCGUCAUCAUUAUUCCAUUCAUUUAUUUAUUCACUUAUUCAUUUAUUUAAAAUUCCGUCUUUAAAUAGUUCCUCAAAAUUCCAAUUUCGAAAUUUAGUUCUCUAAAAUUCCAAUUCUCUAAUUUCCGAACUUAAUUUUCAAUUUCCCAUGCUCCAAUUCUCGUAUUUAUCUCGUUACUUACUAUUAUCAUUAUCACUAUUAUUUUAUUCAUUAUUUCUAAAAAUUCUGCCUUCGAAUGAUUUCCAAGAUUUCCAAUUUUUAUAAUUCAAUUUCCAUAGUUUCUACUUCUCAAAUGACUUUCAAUUUUGAUUUCUUUUAAAAUUUAAUUUCCAAGGUCCCAAUUUUUGUAAUUGAUUUUUUUUAAAAAUCCCGAACUCUCAAAUCAUUUUCAAAAUUCCAAUCUCUUUCAAAUUUAAUUUCUAAAAUUCUCAUUCUCACACUUAAUUUCUAAAAGUCUGAUCUUCAAAUAAACUCUAAAACUCCAAUUUUCAAGUAAUCUUCGAGACUCCAAUUUUUCAAAUAAAUUUCAAAAAUCCAAUUUUCUCUCAAAUAGUUUUAAUUUUACUCUAGUUUUCAAACAAUCUUCUGCUCCUCUUGAUUUUAAUUAGCAUGAAUGAAUUUUUCAUAAUUCCAGAAUAAUGGAAUCUGUGACAUUAAUUCAUGCAAAAUAAACGGGCUUUGCUGGGGGUCCUACAUAAGUGAUUUUAUGAUUGAUUGAUUGAUUGAUUUGAUUAUCACACAUGAUUAAUUGAUUCUGCUCUAUGACAUGCAUGAGAUUAUUCUUUUAAUUGUGUACUAACCCUCUUUCUUGAUAGCGCAUUGAUCGAUUGAUGCCAAGGUAUGCCCCGUUCUCACUUCGGUCGAUUCUUUAUUGAGUGUUUUGAUUGCCCCAUGUGCAUGAUCACCCUGAGUAUUCAUUGAUUUCCACAUCAAUUGUCACAUCAGCUUCAUUUUAUUAGUAGAGACCCGACUUUAGGGACUUAGAAGGGUGCUACGGUUCUUAUUGUACCUUCCCGAUAAGUAACCUGACCCCCGAACCCGAUCCGGUUUUUCGUAGGCCACCUUUUCCGAAUAAGGAGUCACACUUAGGGUUUUUCUUUCUUAUUUUGUUUACCCUUUUAAAAAUAAAACAAAAAUAAGUGGCGACUCCAAGUCAUUUUCUUAAUCAAUAAAAAUCAUUUUUCGAAAUCAAAAUCGAGCUCGCCUUCGAGUGGGAAACGCAUGAGCCGAAAUGCGGGGUCCACAAUUUAAUAUUAAAACUAUAAUUUAUUUAAUUCAAAUGUAUUCAAUAAUAUAAAAUAAAUUAUGAUGCAUAUAUGAAUUUUUAAUUUUUUUAUAUUUUUAUAUUUAAUUAUCAUAUAAAUGAUAUUAAAAAAAAUACUUGUUAAGAAAAUUAUAAAAGUGGUUUUUAUAUAUUAAUUAAUUAAAUUUCAAAAUAACAUUAUUUAUUUUUAAUAAUGAACUUUAACAUAUUUAUUAUUUACAUAUAUUAACAAAAGAGAAAAUAGUUGCACUUGUUUGUGUCUUCUGAGUAGUAGAAAGAUCAAGUUCUUUCAAAGAACAAAGGGAAAUAUGAUCAUACUUAGUGUGAAGGGUAUUAGAAUGGAUUGUAGGAUGAAUUGAGGUCAACGAUGGGAGCCAUAAGCUGGUAUUAACAUGAUUAGAGAUUGUAGAAUAUUCAGGAACAAUUGUAUGUUGAAGCAAAAGGAAACAUGUUUUCAUCAAAUGCAACAUGCCUAGAUAUGUAGAUCCUACCACUUGGAUCUAAACACUUGUAUCCUUUGUGCUUAUGACUGUAUCCAAAAAAUGUGCAAGGAACUAAACAAAAUUGCAUUUUAUGAGAAUUAUAUGGUCUCAAGUAUGGAAAACAUUGACAACCAAAUACCUUUAAGAAUGAGUAAAUAUAAUGGAUCAUUAUAUACAGUCAAGGAAUUUGAAAAAGACAAUUUAUAACUUUUUCCAAGUUGAUAGGCAUAACAAAAAUGAUCAUUUUCAUUCAUUGAAAACUUCAAAUUAAAAUUUGAAAGAACUUGUUUGACAGUAGAGAAAGUUGGGUAUCCUAAUUUCCUAUGCCACAAACUCAAAAUCGUAGAUGACUUAACAUUAUCAUCAUUAAGAUUGGAAGUAGGAAGGAUAGGAGAAUCUAGACCACAAUCUCCCAUUCUAUUAGAUUUAAGAGACAAGACUUGGUGAUCCUUAGAGUUAAUGAGGGAAAAGUGAUGUGAACUAGUUGAUAAAUAUGGUUGAGCCUUGAAUAGGUUGAACCGAUAUAACCCUUCAUGUAGUCUCCCUUUGAGCAAAGGUGUUCCCGUUGCUAGAUCCUUCACAAUGGAAAUAGAUGGAUGAAACUCAAAGAAUACAUUAUUUUCUUUAGCAAAUUGACUGACAUUUAUGAGAUUACGAGUAAUGUGGGGAACAUGUAGUAGGUUAGAUAAUGAAAAAACUUUAGGUGAAUCAGAAGAACAAAGUGAAGAAAAACCAGAAUGAGCAAUCGUCAAACUUGCACUAUUACCCACAUGGAUCUUAUUUCUUCUAUGAUACUCAGAACCAAAAUUCAGAUUGCUAUGGUCAUUUGUAACAUGAUUUGUUGCUCUUGAAUCUAGAAACUAGUUGUCAUUAUUGAGCAAUUCCGAAGUGGUUAACAUUGUAGUCAUCGAACCUGUGUUUUUACCAACAUUGUUGUUUGCAUAGACUGAAUCAUUUGUGAACCCACAAAAAUUUGGGUCAAAACGAUGGUAACAUUUUUGGACAGUGUGUCCAAAUUUUCCACACAACUAACAUUGUGGCUUAGAACCACCAAUCUAUGAAUGACCUUUUCCACAACCAGCAUGACCUCAUCAUCUAUUAUUUUGAAAUUGUUGUGCUCUCUGGUAGGAUUGAGAAGCUCUCUGAUUAAAACUUUGAAUUCCAUUGUUGAAUCAUUUCUGUUGAUUUUGAAAAACAAGAUUCAUGGAUGGUUGGGAUCCGUCAGAGUUCACUGAAUGCUACUUGAUUUGACUUUCUUAAGCUAGUAGCAACCCUCAUACAUUUUCCAAAGAUGAGAAUCAACUCUGGCAAUAAUAACUGAAACCAUAGAAUUGUAUUCAAUGCCUAGACCAACAAGAAUAUAGAGAAUCUGAUCUUCUUUCAAGAUUUGAUGCCUAGUUGAAGCAAGAGUAUCAAAAUACGUUUUCAUUUUGAGAAGAUAUUCUCUCAUUAGUAAGCCCGAUUUCUUCGAACUCUAGAUCUGCAAUUUGUAUUGUAUAAUCUUGGCUUUGCAUAGUAUUGCAAAGACUUUGUCAAGGGUUCUCUAAAUAUCAUUAGCAGUGUUGCAACCUACCAUUUGUAGUAGAAUACUCUCACUCAUUGAAGAUAGAAGCCAAGAGACUAAGUAGUUGAUCUUGUCUCUGCCAAGUCACAUACUCAAGAUUCAUCGACUGCAGACUUCCAUUGACACUAGAUGUUAUCUCAGAUGGACAAAUAGAGGUGUCAUAAAUAAAACCCUUUAAACCGAAGCCUCGAAUCGCAACGAGAGCUUGUUGUUUCUAGAUGAGAAAAUUUUCAUGUAUGAGUUGUACCGUAACUAGAUGACUUGAAGGACCGAUGACAGGAUUGAGAGAAAAUGAAGAAUCAUAUGAGGUUUCUAGUGAAGUUGCCAUUGUAGAGCUCUGAGUCGAAAGCUCUGUUACCAUAUGAGAUAAACAAAUGAUAAAAAUAGAGGAUAAGAAUUAAGGAUAAAACGGGCAAAGAUGCCCACUCUCUUUCUCAGUAUCUCUUAUUUUAUUAAGAGCAUGAACCAAGAAUUUUAUACAACAAGAAGAACCAACCCUAACAACCCAACCUAUUAUUGAAUGCCACAUGGCACAACAUCAAGUUACUUAUUAAAAUAAGAUACAACAUCAACCCUAACAAAUUAUUUAUUUAUUUAUAUAAUUGAAUUUACUUAUUAAAGUAAAGUUAACAACAUCAAAAACAUGUUAUUAAUAUAUCAAGUUCCCAAAUAAAUAUUUAUUUUAUAAAAUAUUAAAUAACAAUUUUUAAAAAUCAUUUUCAAAUAUUAUUUUAAAAAAUAAUUACUAAAUAGGACCUAAAUAUCUCCUUUCAAAAUGUGGCUUUCAAUUCUAAAAGUAUCAUAGUGGAAAUUUCUUACUUGAUAUUAAAGAUAUAAUAAAAUUAUAAAUAACAAACAUUAUAUUUCUAAACAUCUCAAAAUUUUCCAUUUUUCUAUUAAUAUUGCAGACUGCAUAAGUAAUAACUACAAUAACAUCAAAUGAAGUAUAAGUAGCACUUGACAUAAGAUUUAUUGUUGUGUAACAUCAGGAUUAUAAAGACUUUUAGCUCAAAUAAUCUUUUUAAUCAUAUAUAUUAGACAUAUAUGAUAAUCAUAAUUCUAUUUUCCAUUUUUAUUCAAAAAAAGAAAAAAGAAAAAUAAGAACUUUUUGCUAAUUAAUUAUAUAAUAAGUAGAAUUUUUUUAAAUGAUUUCUCAAUGAUGUGUCUAUGAGUUGCAAUAAUUUUUUGAUAUUUAUAUACAAGACUCUAAUUUUAUUAGUUUAGUACACAUGAAUAUGACACGAGUGACUUAUGAGUGUAAUUUCCUAUUUUUAUUUUGAGUAUAAAUUAUUUUAAAUUUUUUUUCUAAUAAAAUUUCGGAAAUUAAAAAAGUAAAAAUUUAUCAUGAACAUGAUUUAAAAAAUUUUAAUUUAUAAUUUUUUAAUAAUAAAAAGAAAAAUGCCAUCGAAAAGCGCUUAAAUUAUAUUUAGUAGGCUUCUUUUAUUCAGACUGGAGAGCGUAAACACAAAGCCUUUCCAGUGGUCCGACAACAAAGGCAUGUACGCGUAGUUAAGGGUAGGCGGUAUUCUCCCAAUUGCCAUCAGACUGGUACAUUACUUAACCAUACACGCUACUCCAAGGUUGCUAUUAUCAACUAGUUUUGGUCAGCACACAUCUAUAGCCAGUGACAGUGAUGUCAUCGACUAGCAAGUUUGUUGUCGGAAACCAAGACGCUCAUUUUUGAGGUCAAACUCCACAUAAUAAUCCACGUGCUGAUGAUUCCCCAGAAUAAUAGACGGUCCCGGAGUGAAUUCCAAAGUGUUGGUGCCUGCAUCAGUGACGAAGGGGAAACAAGCGAAGCUUAUCUCAGGAAAAGACAUAAAAUAAUUCUUUCCUGGUACCACCAUAUUUGCGCCACCGCUAAAUUGGUAAAUUAAGUCGGGGAUUUUUAUGGAUUUGUGGCCUGUGAAAUUAUAACAAGGUGUGAAACCGGACAGGUUUUCUAGCUCAAGAGAUCUCCUAUACUUGGACAUCUGCUUUUUCAACUCAUUUGUCACUAUCUUAAAAACCGGUCGUGUCAUGUAUCCAUACGCGAAACCAGAAUCUAUCAUGAGACCACCUCGACCGUCGGAUCCUGGAGCCAGAUACUUGCUUGGAAUCCUGAGGAGCUUGUUCCCGAUCCUGAUAUCUUUGACACCCAAGUAGUAGUAAACCGGGUAGUCAGGAGGAUUCUUGAGAAAGGGAGCAUAGGAAAGUCCUUUGGUUUCACCAUCACUGUAGUCCAAAAUCAACUUGCUGCUGUUCCGGGUGUCAUCGUGAUCGUGCGAAUUGAGACAGUAAGCGAACUUCUUCACACCCAUCUGCAUCGGCAACGAGAACAUUGUGCGACCGAACCCCGCAAGUGCGUCAGAAGUAGGUUCAUGAGCAGCGGAUGUUGUACACCCAACAAGAAAUUUAUGAAUUGUUUUCCCGGGAAAGUUGAGGUUUUCUAAUAGAAAAAACCCAGAUGCUGAUCCUGUGCCAUACUGAAGACUGUAUUGUGGGCAAGCGUGGGAGCAAUUUUUGGAAUUGCCAUUGCAGCGAGGGCACCCGAGGGAACAUUUGGGGUUUCUGCACUCCAAGAUCUUAUAAGACGACGAAAGUUUGGGAUUAAAGAUGGGGACCUUUUUGGGGUCUGAAAAAGAACAGUUGGUGCAUGUAUAGUGAGUUGUACACGGGGCCCAUACUACUUGACUUCCUGUGUCCACCAGGAAGGGGAGUUUUUGUGGAGGAGUGCCGAAGCUGAGAGGGAUGCUGUGACCUCCAUAACUAUGAGGAAAAAGAGAAAUUUGUGUGAGAGGGCUGGCCUUCCCAUGUUUCAAUUGAUGGGCUCUGGACAAGGAUGAAAUGCAAGGUGUUGGAGAAAUAGCAAGGGUUCGAUAGAUGGCUUGUUUGUAAAUGUUGAUGUUAGAGGGAUGGUAAUGGUGGCAGGUGUGUUAUCUUUGGAGGAAGAUGCCAAGAAAAGGAAAGAGAAGAAAGUAAAGACAGAGAAAAGCAAAGAAGUAGAAGAAGCCAUGGCUGUGUAGUUUCAGACGCACACACCAUGGGAAGUGGUAGAGAGAGUAUUUAUAUAGACAAUGACAUGCAUGGUUUAUAUGUAGUUAUUCUAAAAUCCAUUGUCAAUUUUCUUCAUUUUGCAGUAUGAUAUGGAUUUGAUUGAGCAAAGAUUUUAUUGCCUCUUCCUGACGAAGACAGCCACGACAGCCGCGGUUACCUACAAAAGCAUUCCAGCUGGCGUGAAUUGCAAUUAUCAACAGAAUAUUUGUCUUUUUCCUUUUAUUAGGUUUCUUUCUUCAAUCUUUUUAAACACCAUGUCUUUUGUGUGUGGUGGGGAGGGGUCACAGCUUCAAAUAAUGUAGUUUACUGUUCCUUUUGUGGCUGGAUAUGUUUUCUUUGUGAGGAGACUGGUUGGUACGUCAACUCCCCUUUAACCUAAUGGAAAAAUAAAAAAUAAAAAAUCAAAGAGUUAGAUUUCAACAGAACAUUUACAAAAAAGUAAAAUAAAACAUCAAUAUUGAGAAAGUGAUAAAUUUGUAAUAGAUAAUUUACAUCUAAAAAUUGUUAUUAAUUAAUUGAGAAUUAGGAAUAAUUUUUUUUCCACUUUGAUGUGAAGUACACCCUAAACCAUAUAAGAAUGGACAAAUUAUUUGAUAAAAGUUAAAAUAAUUAUAAAGAUCGAUAAAAUCAAAGAAAAAUAAGUUUUUAUCUACUUCACAAAUAAUAUAAAUGCACCGUCGAUGUUAUUAAAUUUAUUAAAAAUUUAAAAAUAAAUCUCAUACUAAAAACAUAACUAAUCCUUCAGAACUUAAAGAUUUCCUACCCUUCUUAAUAGUUUUAUUGCUUUUGAAUUUUAAUAUUAUAUAAUGAAUAUUGGAAAAUUGAAUAACAAGUUGUAAAUUUAUUUUAUUUUUUUAAUUUCUUUAAGCAAAUAUUUUUUUAAGACUUAUAAUCUCUGUUUAUUUCUCAGUUUUAUUAAUUUAUGUUGCAUUUUUUUGAAAAAAAAAAAAUCUAUAUUUUCAUAAUUAUAGCACCGACAAAGAAUAUCAAAUAAAUUUGUACCUACCUAAGUGUUUUUAUAAUUUGCUUCCAAAAGUAGUAAUCAUACUUUACAUUUGACAUUGAUAGUUUCAAUCACAUAAUCUAGUUUUAGUUGUUUAAUCUAAAAAUGUUUUCCAACAUUUGGGUCAUUGAAUCAAAAAAUAUAUGGCAUGGGCACUACCAAUAUGAUAUAGACCACCACCAAUGUUUUAUUACAUAGGAUACCACUGGGACCACAUGUGUUCACCUCCACCAAAAUUGGUUUAUUAUCUAAGACUAUAAAGAAGUGGAGGAAGAGAAUAUUCUGAUUUGGUCACCUCAUAAAAAGUUGAUUGAAGUAGAAAAUCUGAAGAAAAUUUGAAGGCAGUCCACAUUUUUUCGGCACCAAGUAUUCAUUUUGUGGAUAAAAGAAAUUAACAAAUUUUAAAUUUAGAAAAAAUAACAGGCCUAUACCUACCUCUUAGUAGUGCCUUAAAUUUAAACUAUAAUUUAAAUAUUUUCUAUUAAUUUUAUUGUUGAAAAUGUAAAUAGACCAAAAAUUCUAGCUUUGUGAUUAUGUUAAAUUACCAAUUUUCCUAAUAAAUAUGUAAACUAUAAAGAGAUGGUCAAAAGACUUCCAACCCAUACCCAUAAGUAGAGAAAUAAAUAUAUAAAUUAUAGAUAGGAGGCUUGAAUACAACUUAAUAGCAUAUUGAAUUAUCAAUUUUCCUAAAAUAUUAAUCAUUUAGGAUUUGAGUUUAUAAUAUAUACCAUGCUUUUAACUUUUAUAAACUUGUGUGUGAUCAUAGAAUGAAAUAUCUACAUGUGAGUGACUUUUAUUUUUUUUUAACCAAAAUAUUGCUUAUCAAUUUAUUACAUUAUAAUUACUCUUUUGGUUCCAAAGAAGUCUCCUUGGUUGUGAUAAUCUUAAUAUCUAACUCCAUUUUUCCCUAAUUAAAGUACACAUCAAACUUGUGAGGGAAGAGUGCAGUCUCUAUGAGAGGGCUGCUCUUGCGGCCGUAUUUGAAGUGAUGAACUCUGGUUAAUGGCCUAAAGGCGAGGUUAUGGUUCAGUUCUGAAGAUGGUUCGUGGGUGAAUAAUGGUGUCAGAGGGAUACUAAUGGUGGAGGGGCCGGUUUCUCUUCUUUGGAUGAAGAUGAUAAGCAAAGGAGAGAGAAGAGAGUAAAAAACAUGACAAAGCCAAGAAGAAGAAGCAAUAGCUCUGACCUUUUGUUGCCUGAUAAUUAAAGUCCCACUAACAAAAGCUAGCACAAGGGAAUCACCAUCCCCACUUUCUGUGGACGCAGUACUACCUCACGAAUCACAAUAUGAUAUCCACCUUCCCACAUUUUUUUGUAUCAAUAUUGACGUCAGCUUCAUGUCAUGUUGAAGAUGCAACAAAGUUUAUAUAUGGUUAUAGCUGCUAAGCAUGCUUGGCAAGCUUUAGCCCUAUUUGCCAAUGAGCCUUCAGACAGAGAGAUGGGCGCACGUCAAAAUAGGCUACAGAUUUUCAAUUCUUUUAGCCAUGCAUUUCAGAACCGUGCAGAUUGCGGUAGACAACAUUAGCCAUCAGUUUCCCAUAUAAAUGGAUGUCAUCCUCACAUCAAUUCUUCUUGUUCUUUGUGAUUCCCACUAUUAGAACAACAUGGCAUGAGUAUUCCUACAACUGAUCAAUAUGAAUGGACAAUGGAAUUUUGAAUAAUGAUAAGAGAUGUUCAGGUGCGGUCCCAACUAGACUAGUAAUGCUUGUAUGAGUGUAAACCAUUUGGGUCUCGACGUCUACUCACUACCUCACGUGGAUCACGAUUGUUGAAAUGCAUAUUUUUUGUGAGCUUCAUGUUUGGGGUUAGCCCUUUUAGUUAUUUUUUAAUUGAAGUCAUUUUAAAAAUAAUAUUAAGAUAAAUUCUAAAAGUGUAAAGUUGUUUCUUUAAUAUAGAUCACAUUAAACUCUAAUAUUUUAAAAAAAUAUGUUGUAUAUUUCUAGCACUACACGUCACGACAUAAUUUGCAACCCCCGGGACCCAGCAUUGGAUAUAUGGGGAAAGAACAACAUUACAUUGACCCCACAUCUCACUUCCAGUGGCUCACAAGCCGCCACCUAUCUUCCUUUCGAUGUGGAUCUCCUUCUGCCCUACAAAGAAUAUUGGAAUUUGAAAAGCACCCAAAGUCAUUUAAAAAAAUAUUUCUAAAUCUACAAUAUUUUGAGUUAAUCUAAUUGAAAGUUGUUUUUUAGAAAAACAAUUUUAGUAAAAUUUUAAAGUUAAUUUUUGAAAAAAUAAUUUUCUUAUUGACACUGAAAUUAUCUUUUUGAAAAGGUAACUAAAAUAUCCUAAAUCUGAAAAUAAUUUUUAAAUGUCAUACUUUAAUAAAUAUUUUUUUAGAGAAAAAUAAUAUUUUUGUUAAACAAUAUAUACAAUAAGCUACCUCAUGUGUCAGAAAUGAUCCCUAAAACAAAUGCCACAUGCUGCUCGGGAUGAGCGGAGGAAACAUGGCAUCGCGGAGGAUCACAGCUCCCCGCUCCUUAUGUUGCGGACAAAGCCAAAGCGAUUGAUUAUAGAGGCAACGUAGUGGUUUAGUAGAGGAGCGACCACUACCAAAAGUAGAAAUGUGAAUAUCUGAUGCAACGCCUCCCUCUUAUCCCUCUAGUGCUGCCCUUCUCACAUCAAGUAUUUUCGUUCCUGGGCCAUCCAUUUUCCAUAUCGGAAUAAUAACCUGUUGUAGACCCCCAUUUGGGGCUCAUUCCUUUGCAUCUCUGCAGGGUAUGAUUCUUUGCAGGUGGAGGGCUCCCAAGGAGCCACGUGUCGCCUCGCGGUUGGUGGCCAUAGAAACAGAUGGUGGAAUUGAGGAGCGAGUGAGAGUUUGACAUGUGGCAUGGAGAUAUUCUGGCCGUUAGUGAGGAGCGUAUAUUUUCUGUUAGAGGGGAUUUUUGCAGAGGGGGGUCGGCUGGCCAGAGGUAGGGUGCUUUUCAGAAGCUGCUGCAGGGUAGUGGUGGUCGGGGAGCGUCUCCUGGAGGUUUAGAGGCUGUAGAGAACUAGGGUCUCCGGGGGGGGCUGGUAAAAGAGGAGAGAAGAACAGAGGUGUAAAAGAGGGAAAAGCUAAGAAAAACAGAGGAAAAGCCAGGGAGGAACAGAGAGAGAUUUUUGGGAGAGGAAGGAUUCGAGAGUGUGUUUUUCCAGGAGAGUGAGAAGGAGAGGUGAUGUUUGGGCGCUGCUGGAUUUUACAGAGGUAUCUUUAGAGAGGAUUCCUUGGCUUAAAAGGGGUUUUCCUUGCAGGAGACAAAGGAUGAAUGCGAUUUUGAGCAAAUUUCGGCAUUGGCGACAUGAAUGGGCUUAUAUAGCUGUCAAUAUUCAAGAGUUCUUGACGUUGGUGGGGUUUUUGAGGUCAAGCUACAGAUCUGAUUUGAAUGAUAAACGCAAAUGAGAGUUUGUUCCAUUGAGACUUGGUAUCCAUGCUGUCUAAACAUUGAAUCAGAAAUGGGCAGAGAGAUUAUUUUGAAAGAAAUAGAUUAAGGAGAAGGAUUCUAGUGAGGGUCCCCAUACCAUGUCUUGAUACCGGUUCAUGCAUAUCAUUAUUUAUCAUACCAGUGGCAAAUGUCAAUAUCCCAGAGGAAGAAGAGAGUACACUGAUUGAAGAAAUGUUGGUUCUUAAGGGAAUGAAAGACCCACUCUCGCUCUUGUAUUCUUUUGGCUAGACGAAUCCACUAGUAAACUGGUGGAUGAUGAAGACAGAUUGAUGGUUGAGAACCAUACCUCCAGUGUGGGCGCAUGCGAAUCUUGCCCGCUGCUGUUAGUGCGUUCCAGAUCCGGAAAGUCUUCAUAAAGGCCCCGCAUGGAUUUUAUGAGUUUAUGGAUGUACCCUUGCAGCUACAGCAUGUGCUUGCCCUACAUCUAGAGGAGCAUCCAGGGUCGAUUUCAGAUGGAUCCUUAGAGCACAAUCUAGAAGUAACUAUCGCAAAGGAUACAUGCACACAUCCUGGCGCUUUUAGAGAAUUGCAUAUACGUUGUGGGCAGCCAAAUGGUGCAAGGGCCCCAUCCUCUCAAGUGGUCAAAAACUGAAGAUGCCACGUAUUCCCGGAUCAUCAGAAGCUCCUAAGACGAACUGAAUGAUCUAGAGGAGGCUAUUCAACCUGAUUUAACUGGAAAUAAAUCAUCAAAGGAAUCAACUCGAGAUGGUCAUGCGUAGAAUGCAAAGAAUAGACAGAUCAGAUCCUCAAGGCGACCGUGGUCAUUCGUGGUGGCGUUCUGGCACAGAAUAGGAAUACCAGAUUGCAUUAUUUUGGGAGAUAGUAAAUGGUACAAAGGCUGUUCAUCCCAUCUGGAGGCGAAAGUAUUAAAAAAGGCAUGCAAAUUAUUCAAUGGCUGAGAAAGCGGCAGGUUCAAUAGCAGAGGAUAUGAUCGUCACCUACAUAAGGAAGUCAAAUGGGCCAAAGGGAAAUUUGAGGCAACUGGUCAUUCAAACAGUGCAUUCAUAAAAAUCACACCUGUGAGGGACCUCAGUUGCGAGCAUGUUUAGAAUCCUUUCCAGAAACUGUGUGAUCAUUUAAUGUGAUUUAUACCCAAGAUUUGCCUCUGGACUUUCAUGACGGAGAUAUCAUAGCGCCACGGGUUUUAGAUUAGCUGCCAAUGGCUAGUUGGAGGAGUAUAGGAUUACUUUUAAAGUCCUCAGGGGACUUGAAGAAUUUCCGAGAUUCGCAUGCAACCGUGGCUGUUGACUCACCUGAAAUCACAGCUGUUCAGUCUUCUCAAUGGAUCUCCAAGCCACGAGUUCAAGGUUAGGAGACAAAUAAAGUCAUCGUUUUCACUGAAGUUGGUGUUCAUUUGGCAUCUGAGGACAUAGCUUAAACAAUUGGGAAAUCCAUCGUCAGCAACUGUUUUGGGAAUGGAGACUGAGACCUCACCCAGAUCCCCAGGGGAUGUGACUAUACUGACUCGUUUGCACUCCAGACCCGUUCCCUCUCUCUAGCAUGGCAUGCAUGGCCACCUUUGGGCCACGUGUUCUCUCUUCUUAUUUCCUUAUUCUUUGAUUUUUGAAAUUAACUACCCCAAAUCUCAUGUGAUAAAUUCUUUUACGUUUUGGUUUUCAAAUAGUCUCAAUUAUCCCAUCCUUCUUCCUUAGCAUUUUUCUUUAAGUUUCAAAACCCCAUUUUCAAUAAAACGUUGCUGCCAUUUUUCUUCGGCAUGCAAUUUUGACAACUUCCAUGAUUUUAAAACGUUUUGAAAUAAACAUGAAUUCAAUUUUGUAAUUCCAAUUAAUGGAACUUAUGAAAUUAAUUCAUGCAAAAUAAACGGGCUUUGGUGGGGGGCCCGACAUAUGUGACUUCAUGAUUGACUGACUGAUUGAUUGAUUUGACUGCCAUGCAUAAUUGAUUUAUUCUGAUCCGUGACAUGCAUGAGAUUAUUUCUUAACUGUGCUCUAACCCUAUUUCUUGAUAGCGCAUGGCGGCUCGUCACCUAGGUACGUGUCCAGUCCCAUUCUUGUAAUUCUCUAUGCAAGUACUGAUUCUCAUAUGUGCGAUCAUGAUGAGUAUUCAAUGAUUUCAUCAUCAAUGCCACGUCAGCCUCAUCUUANNNNNNNNNNNNNNNNNNNNNNNNNNNNNNNNNNNNNNNNNNNNNNNNNNNNNNNNNNNNNNNNNNNNNNNNNNNNNNNNNNNNNNNNNNNNNNNNNNNNCAUGCAAAAUAAACGGGCUUUGGUGGGGGGCCCGACAUAUGUGACUUCAUGAUUGACUGACUGAUUGAUUGAUUUGACUGCCAUGCAUAAUUGAUUUAUUCUGAUCCGUGACAUGCAUGAGAUUAUUUCUUAACUGUGCUCUAACCCUAUUUCUUGAUAGCGCAUGGCGGCUCGUCACCUAGGUACGUGUCCACUCCCAUUCUUGUAAUUCUCUAUGCAUGUACUGAUUCUCAUAUGUGCGAUCAUGCUGAGUAUUCAUUGAUUUCCUCAUCAUUGCCACGUCAGCUUCAUCUUAUUAGUAGAGACCCGACUUUAGGGACUUAGAAGGGUGCUACGGUCUUUACCGUACCUUCCCGAUAAGUAACCUGACCCCCGAACCCGAUCCGGUUUUCAUAGACCGCCUUUUUUAAAAUAUGGAGUCACACUUAGGGUUUUUCUUUCUUAUUUUGUUUACCCUUUAAAAAUAAAACAAAAAUAAGUGGCGACUCCAAGUCAUUUUCAAAUAAUCAAUAAAAAUCAAUUUUUCAAAUAAUAAAAAUCGAGCUCGCCAUCGAGUGGGAAACGCAUUGAGCCGAAAAUGCGGGGUCCACACCUGUCAAUUCAUAAAGUUGCCUACUUUUUCUCUCCUGCCUCCUGGACAUUCUAACCUCAACUAGAAAGUUGGAUUUUAUUUGUGGCUUUUUUUAUUUUUUAAAUUUGGAGUCAUUAUUGGAGUAAGAUGUCCAAGUUAGAUGGUCUUGUCAUUAUAUUUAUGUAUGUUACCUUACAGGUACUUGGAAUCUACACCACUUUAUGUCCUAAAAUUUUGUGCCCUAAAAAGUUUUAGCAUAUACCAUAUUUGCAUACCAAUUAAAUAUCAUGUCGUUUUGCACAUACAAGACUUUAUUGAUCAACUCCGACCUCCAACUCAUGUAAACAUGGAUAGAUCCAUCCAACCAAUCGACAAGGUAGAAAAUUUUAUUAUAAGGGUAAAACAGAAAAAUCAUAAAUCAUAAUAAUAUUAAAUAUAAUUUCAGAUUUUAGUAUCAUUCAAUAAAACAAGUAUAUUUAUUAAUAUCAAUUUAUAUAAUUUUUUAUAAUAUAUCAAAUUAAAUAACAUAAACAAAUAAACUUUUGAUAUUAUGGUGAUUAUUCCAUCAUUAAGUUAAGCCAUAGGAUCAAAUCAUCAAACUUUGACAUAUAAAAUGUUGUCAUAAAUCUAGUUAGGCCACAAAUUUCUUUUACAUUUGUUUUUCAAGAUUACUAAUAAAUUUUUAAAAAUAAAAAACAUUUCUUUCUUUUUCCUCUUUUAUCAUGUUAAUAAAGAAAAAAAAUAUUUUCAAUUCAAUUUCUCCUCUUAUUGUAACAAAGGGAAAUAAAAUUUAUUAUUUUAUUAAUAUUUAAUUUCAGAUAUGAGAAUAUUAGUGAGCUUUGAGUAUUAUAUGAAAUUUCAAAUAUAUUGUGAAUCCAAGAAUUAAAAUUGAAUUAUUGUAAUUUUCAAUCAAAAUUCAUUAUAACUUACUAGUUCACUAAUCUUAGAGAUGAAUGGGACUUUCUAUGCAUAUGUAUUUACAUGUAAAAAGAGUUACAUCAUCUUUUAUCAAUGUGGAUGCAGCUGCCUAAUUUUAAAAUUCAAUGGGUUGUCAUUAUCACAUCAAUUAUUCUUCUUUCUCAUGCACCCCACAAAACAAGAAACAAUAUAAUUUGCCUCAAGAAACAACAUAUUUGAAAUUAUAUGGAAUUUAAAAUAUAUUGUGAAUCCAAUAAUUAAAAUUGAAUUAUUAUAAUUUCCAAUCAAAAUUCAUUAUAUUCACUACUUCGCUAAUCUUAGGAACGAAUAAGACAUUUCAUGCAUAUGUACUUACAUAUAAAAAGAGUUGUAUCAUCCUCCACAUGUGUGUGGAUGCGAUUGCCUAAUCUCCACAUAAUUUUUAAAUUCUUGUUAUUGUCACAUCAAUUAUUCUUCCUUUUCAUGCACUUACAAAGCAACAAAUAUCAUAAUUUGCCUUCGUCCACCUACUCACUGAAGUGCAACUUUUUUUUUUUCCUUUUUAUUUUUGUGUGCUUUAUUUCGUACAAAGGGCAAAAAUAUCAUGAUGAGGACGAAAAUAUUGUGUCCAAAAUGGCUUAGAGGGAAAAAAAUCAUUGAAUUAGGCCCAACUUGCGUAUUAAAUAAUACCUUAAGUUUUACAAUCUCUCAAAGUUUCCAUAUAUGAUUGAGUUCUUAUUUAUAUAAAAUGUAAAAAUCUCAUAUAUGAUAAGCAAUCAACUUAUUAUAUAUUAUAUAUGUGAUUAUAAUUGUUUAUAUAUAUAAUUAUUAUAUGAAUAUUUUUAUAUAUUAUAAUAUAUUUUAUAAAUUAAUAAAAAUAAAAUUAUUAUAAAUUAAUUAAUUUUAAAUAAUAAAAAAAUUGUAUCAAAAUAUUUAUCAAUAUUUUUAUGAUAUAUUCGAUAUAUCUAUAAAAUUCAAGUAUUAUAUAUAUAUGUGGUUAUUAAUAUUUUCAUCAUUAGUUUUAGCUUAUCCUAGUGCCUUAAAUAGGAUGCUUGAUUUUAUUUGUUUUUCAAUUCAACAAUGAAAUAAAAAUAAAAAUAUAAAAGAAUUCAAGUUCUUUUUUAAAAUAAAAAAUUUAAAUAUAAUAAAGAUUACUCAAAAUUAUGAUUAUAUUUAGGAAAUGUUUUUAAAAAUAGUUCUAAAAAAAUAAUCUUUGAUAAUUAUUUUUUAAAAUUAUUUUAUGAUGUUUUUAUAAGAAAAGUUUGUUUGAGGAUAUUUGAAAUACUGUAAACUUAUCUUUUAUAUUUUUAAAACAAUAUUUAUAUGUAAUAAUUUAUUUAUUUAAUCAUUCUUUAUAUUUAUAUAAAUACUUAUUAAAAUCAUUACAAAAAUGUAAGUGAAAAUAAGUAAAAACAAGUAAAAUAUGUUAUAAAAAAACAUCUUAUUUUAUAUUUUUUAAAAUUGAAUUUUUUUUUCAUUUUUUGCUAUCAAAUGUAAUAUGUUUUCCUCUUUUUGGUACUUCAAAACAUAAAAUUAUUUUCGAAAACAAAACAUAUCCUCUACAUUUCAAAGUUUUCAAAUUUUUCCUAAAAGGAUAAAUUUGAAAAAGCAUAUACAAAAAUUUUAUUUAAUAUAAUCCUAUUUUUUAUAAUUUCCUUUCCACUUGUCAUUGUGGCUUCCAAUUUUAGUCACAAUUAUGAACUGUAAGAGGCAAUUGAAUUCAUGCACACGUACUAUUUUAUCCAACAUUAACUUUUAGAAAUAUUUGAUUAAAAUAAUGAAAUAAUACCAAUAUUUGGAAAAAUAAUUUUUAUAGUUGGACAUUGCUUCUUCAACUCAGCUGCCACCAUAUUAAAAACCGGUCUUGUCAUGCAUCCGAAGCCGAAACCUGAGCCAGAUACUUGUGUGGGAUCCUCAGGAGCUUCUCGCCGAUCAUGAUAUCUGUGACACAGUGACACCUAUGUAGUAAUACACAGGAAAUUAGUCAUCUGGGUUCUUGAGAAAGGGAGUGUAGCUAAGUCCUUCGGUUUCGCCAUCACGGUAAUCCAACAUCAACACGACAUUUUUCGGGGUUUCGUCGAAGUCGUGAGAAUUGAGACAGCAAGCGAACAGAGACGUAAGCAGAGUAUAUAUAGCAUCGAGUCAUUCCCAUCUCCUCCCCAUUCUUAUCAUUUUCUUAUUCAAUGAGUGUCAUUUGCACAUCCAUUCUUGUUGUUCUUAUACAACCCAUAAAACAUCAUCGUCAACGCAUUAUAUGACCCGCAUUAAAUGUAUAAUAUUUAUAAAUUGAAAAAUAUAUAUUUUUAAACUUUUAUAUUAAUUUUUACCCCCUUUUUUUUAUAGGAUUUUGCUAUUAAUGACUGUCACUUAUCAAUUUCCUUCAUAAACAACACAGCAUAAAAAAUCUUGUUAAUUUUAUAUAAAAUUACACCCCAUACAAUUAUAAGCCUAAUAAAUCCACAAAUCAUUUUUUUUUGUAUAAAUUUAUAUCACAUACAACUUUAAACCUAAUAAAUCAUCCAACGAUUUUAACAAGAAAAUAAAUUUACACAAUAACACAUUUACAUAAACCAAUAAAAAUAAAACUAAAUAAAAGUGAAAAAUAAAAUAUGUACCAAAACAAGCCUAUAAUAAACAUAAUGUUCCAUUUGAGUCUCAUUUUUAUUUGUGAGAUUGAACCUUCCACAUGUCAUGAAUGAACCAAUAAAAAUAAAAUUAAAUAAAAAUGGGAAAUAAAAUGUGUACCAAACAAACCUAUAAUAAGUCUAAUGUCCCAUUUACAACAUUUUUAAGUCUUAUUUUUUUUCAUGAAAUUUAACUUUCCACAUAUCAAGAAUGUGUGCUCAACCAAUCGAUAGGAGUAGUGGUGAAUAGUAUCACGCAAAACAAAAAUGAACCAAAAAGUAAAUAUCCAAAAAUGUAUAAAGCUUUUCAAUAAGCCCCAAAACAAACUUCAAAUCAAUCUAAUAAAUUUCAUUAAUAAAAUAGACCAAAUUAGCAAAUGUAGUACAACAAAUCUAUUUUUCAAAUUAAUAACCAAAAUAUAAGGACAAACCUAAAUAUAACAAAUCAAAAUAAAUCAAAUUAGAGCUAAAUUUAAUAUAGUAUAAUCCAAACUUAAUUUAAUAAGCAAACUCAAGUCCACUACUAAAACCAAACUCAAUUUAAUAUGCAAAGCCUAAAAUGACAUCUAAAUAUAUACCAUAAUUUUCUAAUAUCUAAAUUCAAUAAUUCAAAUGAGUAAAACUCAUAUCAAUUAUUGACUCAUGUAACAAAUUUCACCAACAAGAAAUGAGCUCAAAUUCCAUGUUAAUUAAUAAGUCCAAAAUAUAAAAAAUCAAAAUAAAUUCAAUUAGAACUAAAUUUAAUAUCUCAUAAAUAAUGCAAAAUAAACUAUUACUCAAGUAAUAAAAAAAAAAUUGCAAGCCAAAAAUCCAAACAUAAUAGUAAUGAAUAACAAUAAUAUAUAUAAACCAACCAUAAAUCCGAUCAAAGAUUCUAAUAGCACAAUAUCCAUAGAUAAAUCCAAAUUGAAUUACACAAACAUGCCCACAAUCAGAUACAAUUAAAGUAAAAGGAAAUUUAACCAUUUUUUAAGAACCUAUGAAUGACCUGAGUUGCUAGCCGGCAAUGGCGGCAGUGGCUGCUGGUAGUGAAGGGUGGUGGAUGGAGAGAGAAAAUGGGUAUGAUGAGAUGAGAGAAGAAAAAGGAAAGAAGAAAGAAAAGGGAAAUAAAUGAAAAAAAAAUGAGAAGGAAGGAAGAGAAGGGUGUUUGGAUGGAGAGAUAAUGAGGGAAAUGAAGAAAAGAAAGGGGAGUGACGGAUAGGGAGAGAAGAAAAUAAAGGAAAGGAAAAAAUGGAAGAAGAAAAGAAGAAAAAAAGAGAGAAAAAAAAAAGAGUGGGGGGAAGAGUCUUCUGGCCGUGGGAAUGGGAUGAGGGAGGAAGAAGAAGAGAAAGAAAAGAAAAGGGAGGAAAAUGGGGGAAAGAAGGAAGAAAAAAAAGAGGAAAAAUGAAAAAGAAAAUGGAGGAGAAGAAAGAGACGGGAGGGGAAUGUGCAGGAGGUUAGUUGUGGGAACGAGGGGUACGGACAAGAGAGGGAAAUGAGGGAGUGACUGGGUGGAGUAAGCGGGAAAAAAGGGAAAGGAAGACGAAUAUAAAAUAAAAUAAAUAAUAAUAAUAAUAAUUUAAAAUAUAUAAAUGGAUUGAAACAUUCAUAUGUAAUUGGGUUUGAAUUUUAAGAAUAAAAUUAAAUUUAUAAUUAAUAUAAAAAUAAAUUCAAAACAAAUUUUAAGAUUUAUAGACUUCUUAUUUUAAAAAUAUUAAUGUGUAAAAUUGUUAUAUAUGUAAUAUCGAUAAAUAAGAAACUCAAAAUAUGAUAAAAUAAUAAAUAAAGCAUUAUACUUUAUUUCCAAACAUAUCAUUUUUUUUUUCAAUUUUUCUAUUAAUGCAUAUUGAAUAAUACUAACUGUUACGACAUUUAAAGUAUAUAUUGAUAUAAAAAGUAAUCCCAUUUUUUCUUUUAUACCAACUUCUAUAUAAUGAAACUUCUUGCCAUAAACAGAAUUUGCUUUGUUUUGAUAACGGAUUUUACUUUUUUUAUUUUAAGUCAUAUCUCUAUCUACCCGGAAUCAAGUUUGACCUCAUGGGAUUGAAGUAAAAAAAUUACAAACUUGCAAUAAUAAUACUUCAUAUUUUAGAAAUAAUACUCCCACUAUCAUUCAAUAAAAUAAAUAAUUAUUAUUAACAUUAAUUUAUAUAAAAGAAAUAAAAAUUUUAUAACGUACCAAAUUAAAUAAUAAAAAUACUAAUAAAAAUGUUUUUGAUUUUAAGGUUACUCUAUAACAUGUUUCAAGUAUCAAAUAAAUAUUUGUUUUAUAAAAUAUUAAAUAAUAAUUUUUAAAAGCUAUUUUCAAAUAUUGUUUUAAAAAAUAGUUACUAAAUAAGAUUUAAAUAUCUCAUUUAAAAAUGUGAUUUCCAAUUCCAAAAGUAUCAUAGUGGAAAUUCCUUACUUAACGUCAACGAAUAAGAAAGUAAAAUUAUAAAUAAAAAACAUUAUAUUUUCUAAACAUUUCAAAAUUUCCCAUUUUAUUAUUAAUACAGAUUGCAUUUGUAACAACUACAAUAAUAUCAAAUGAAGUAUAAGUGGUACUUGACAGAAAAAUUUAUUGUUAUGUAACACUAAGGAUCAUAAAGCAUAAAUAAACUUUUAAAACAAAAAUCCUUUUGAAUUAUAAAUAUUAGACAUAUGUGAUAAUAAUAAUUUUAUUUUCUAUUUUUUCAAAAAAAGAAAAGAAAAAUAAGGACAUAUGUGAUAAUUAUAAUUCUAUUUUCCAUUUUUUUUAAAAAGGAAAAUAAGAACUUUUUACUAAUUAAUUAUAAUAAUAAGUAGAUUUUUUUAAUGAUUUCUCAAUAUCCGUCUAUGAGUUGCAAUUACUUUUUAAUAAUUGCAUACGAGACUCUAAUUUUAUUAGUUUAGUAUACAUGAAUACGAGGGACAAACGAGUGUAAUUUCCCAUUUUAAUUUAUUUUUUUAAAAUCCUGAGGAUAAUUUUAUUUUUUUUUAAAUACAUUUUAAAUUUUUUUCUACUAAAAUUUGGGAAAGAGAAAAGUAAAAAUAUGUCAUGAACAUGAUUUAAAAAAAUUAAUUUAUAAUUUUUUAAUUAUAAAGACAAAAAUGCCAUCAAAAGCGACUAAAUUUAUAUUUAGUACACUUCUUUUAUUCAGACUGGAGAGCUUAAACACAGCCUUUCCAGUGGUCCAACAAUGAAGGCAGGUACGUAGUUAAGGGUGGGCGGUAUUCUCCCAACUGCCAUCGGACUGGUACACUACUUAACAAUACACGCUCCUCCUAGGUUGCUAUUAUCAACUAUUUCUGCCCAGCACAAAUCUUUAGCCAGUGGCAGUGAUGUCAUCGACUAGCAAGUUUGUUGUCGGAAACCAAGACGCUCAUUUUUUUAGGUCAAACUCCACAUAAUAAUCCACGUGCUGAUAAUUCCCCAGAAUAAUAGACGGUCCCGGAGUGAAUUCCAAGGUGCUGGUGCCUGCAUCAGUGACGACAGGGAAACAAGCCAAGCUUAUCUCAGGAAUAAACACAAAAUAAUUCUUUCCUGGCACCACCAUAUUUGCGCCACCUCUAAAUUGGUAAAUUAAGUCGGGGAUUUUUAUGGAUUUGUGGCCUGUGAAAUUAUAACAAGGUGUGAAACCGGACAGGGUUUCUAGCUCAAGAGAUCUCCUAUACUUGGACAUCUGCUUUUUCAACUCAUUUGUCACUAUCUUAAAAACCGGUCCUGUCAUGUAUCCGUACGCGAAACCAGAAUCUAUCAUGAGACCACCUCGGCCGUCAGAUACUGGAGCCAGAUACUUGCUUGGAAUCCCGAGGAGCGUGUUCCCGAUCUUGAUAUCUUCGACACCCAAGUAGUAGUAAAUCGGGAAGUCAGGAGGGUUCUUGAGAAAGGGAGUAUAGGAAAGUCCUUUGGUUUCGCCAUCACUGUAGUCCAAAAUCAACUUGCUGCUGUUCCGGGUGUCAUCGUAAUCGUGCGAAUUGAGACAGUAAGCAAACUUCUUCACACCCAUCUGCAUUGGCAACGAGAACAUUGUGCGACCGAACCCCGCAAGUGCGUCAGAAGUAGGUACACGAGCAGCGGAUGUUGUACACCCAACAAGAAAUUUAUGAAUGGUUUUCCCGGGAAAGUUGAGGUUUUCUAAUAGAAAAAACCCAAAUGCUGCUCCUGUGCCAUACUGAAGAGUGUAUUGUGGGCAAGCGUGGGAGCAUUUUUUGGAAUUGCCAUUGCAGCGGGGGCACCCGAGGUAAACAUCUGGGGAGGAAGUGUUUGCACAUUUGGGAUCUCUGCACCCCAAGAUCUUAUCAGAUGACGAAAGUUCGGGAUUGAAGAUAGGGACCUUUUUGGGGUUUGAAAAAGAACAGUUAGUGCAUGUGUAGUGAGUUGUGCACGGGGCCCAUACUACAUGACUUCCUGUGUCCACCAGGAAGGAGAGUUUUUGUGGAGGAGUGCCGAAGCUGAGAGGGAUGGUGUGACCCCCAUAACUAUGAGGAAAAAGAGAGGCUUUUACGAGAGGACUGGUCGUACCAUGUUUCAAGUGAUGGGCUCUGGACAAGGAUGCAGAGGCAAGGUGUUGGAGAAAGACCCUGGGUUCCGUGGAUAGUUUGCUUGUAAAUGUUGAGGUUAGAGGGAUGGUAAUGGUGGCAGGUAUGUUAUCAUUGGAGGAGGAUGCCAAGAAAAGGAUAGAGAAGAGAGUAAAAACAGGGAAAAGCAAAGAAGUAGAAGAAGCCAUGACUGUGAAGCUUCAGAAGCGCACACCAGUGAAAGUGGUAGAGAGAGUCGUUUAUAUAGACAAUGACAUGCGUGGUUUAUAUGUAGUUAUUUUAAAAUCCAUUGUCAAUUUUAUAUGGGAAUUUCAAAGUGCCGAGAAACAAAUGGAGAUUUGUAUUAUAAAAAAAUUAUUAAAAAGAUUUUGUUAGUAAAAUAAAUACAAAAAUAUGAUUUUAUUUAUUUAUUUAUUUUUUGCAUUGAAUAUUAUCCUGUCCUACCCAUCUUGCUUUUAUACUAAACCCGUGGAAUUCACUUUUAAUGCUGAAUAAAUUAUUUUUUAUAUUGAAAGUUUAAAAUUUAAUUUAUUUUUUCAAGAAGACAAGUUUCACGUUAUUUUUUAGAUUAUUUGUUAUAGGACUUUUUUCAAAAAUAAUUAUUAUAAUCAUAUAAUAAAUCAGUUUUGGUAGAGGUGAACACAUGUGGUCCCAUAUUUGCAUUGGUGGUGGCCUCUAUCAUGUUGAUAGAGUGACAAAUAUGAUAUAUUUUUAGAUUAAAUGACUCAAAUAUUAGGAAACAUUUUUAGAUUAAAAAACUAAAACUAGAUUAUGUGGUUGAAAUUAUCAAUGUCAAAUGUAAAGUAUGAUCGCUACUUUUGGAAGCAAAUAAUAAGAACCCUUGGUACAAAUUUAUUUGAUAUUUUAGGUCUACACCAUAAUUAUGAAAAUAUAGAUAUUUUUUUAAAUGCAACAUUAUUUAAUAAAAGUGAGAAAUAAAUGGAGAUUUUAAGCCUUGAAAAAUAUUUAUUUAAAGAAAUUCAAAAAAUAAAAUAAAUUUACAAAUUGUGAUUCAAUUUCCACUAUUCAUUGUGUAAUAUUAAAAUUCAAGUGCAAUAAAACUAUUAAUAGGGGGUAGUGAAACCUUUAAGCACUACUACAAAAAUAAUAUAUGAUGUCACUAUUUAUGGUAUCGCAUUUAAAAUAAUGACACCAUUGAACUUAAAAUUUAUAAAGGUGACACAUCAUAUAAAAAAUCUUCAAUUAGGAUAGUUAGAUGAUGCUAAUUUCAGAUUUACGAUGUCAUUUUUUGGAAGUGACACCAUAUGAAAUAAAAAGUUUUAAAUUUUAUAACUCAAUGGGCCCUUUUUAAAAAUAGUGAGUAGGAACAAUUUAUGAAAAGUCCAUUGUUUCCAUAUAUACAUUAACUAAUAUAAAAGAUCUUAUUGCUUAACCCUAACCAUCGUUUUCUUCUCCUUCUUCUCACACCCAUGGUCGGCACACCCAUAAUUAAUAUUCUUUGCUUCGUAAAAUCUCGGGUAAGUCAAAAUCUCUUAUCUACCAUCUUCAUUUUUUUUAUUAAUGCAAAAAACUUUGUUUGUAUAAUUGUUUUAUAUCUCUUGAUUUAGUAUAUCUAUGAUGUGGGUUUUGUAAAUGGUGUUUUUUAUCGAGUUCCAAGGAAGUAAAAACUAGGUUUAACAUUCUAACAUAUUUUUUGUUUCAUUGCUAAUAAGCCCCAAACAAAUGAAAACAAGAAAAAUGAAUUAUUUUUUAAAAUUUUGUCUAAUUGAGAAUGAGAGAUACACUAGUUUGUAGUAAUUUUUCGCAUGAAAUAGUAUUUUAUUGAAGACUUGACUAUAUUUGAUACUUUUUUCCACCGUGCUAGGAGCUUUUUGGUGAAGUCUAACAAUAGAGAUUGACAUCUACUACAAGAUGAUACUCAAUUAAUCUAAAAGCACUUAAGUUAUUUAGGGUUUUCUUCGGUUAACCUAAGAAAACAUUCCCACUUUCUUUGUAUUGAGUCACCUAAAUAGAAUAGAAUAUUGGGUAUCAGAGUCGUAAAGGGUAUUAUAAAUAUGACUCUUUUUUUUUAGAGUCACCUACAUGGAAUGAAUUAUUGGUAGGUGAACAAAAUAUUGGGGUGAUUGUAAUAGUUGAAUUAGUAAAUGGAAGAUAAGUGUAUGUUGCUUUGUUUAUUCUAUAAAAACAAUAAUUUUAGUAGUUGAAAUUUACAUGCUUUGUUGUUUUAUAAAAACAAUAAUUUUAGUAUUUGAAAUUUUAAAAUGUGAAUGAAUGUCUGAAAAUAUGUUUUGAAAAUAGGAUAGUAAUAAUGGAAAAUAACUCAUUUCCUAAAANNNNNNNNNNNNNNNNNNNNNNNNNNNNNNNNNNNNNNNNNNNNNNNNNNNNNNNNNNNNNNNNNNNNNNNNNNNNNNNNNNNNNNNNNNNNNNNNNNNNUAUAUAUAUAUAUAUAUAGAUAUAAAAUAGACUCUUGAUAUUAAUAAAUAAGUGAAUUUUUCUCUAAAAAAAGAAUAAAAUAAGAAUUUCUCUAUAUAAUAAAAUAAUUUAUAUAUGAGAUAGUUUUCAAUAAGAAAGUUUUGAAAAUAAAUUUGGGAUAAAAUAUUUUUUAGUAAGUUUUGUUUAGAUAAUUCAAGAAUAAAGUGGUUUAUUAACUUUUCUUAAAAAAUAACAUUCUUCUUUCUUUUUUGAAUUGAUCAAUUUUUUUAGAAAUAAAAUUGUUAGAUUCUAUUUUUUGUAAAUGUUUAAGAAAUUCUAAAAAAUUCUUUAAAAAUGAAAUGACCUUUCUACCACAUUCCUUGUAAUAAAUAAUUGUUUUUUUUUAUACAUAUUGUAAAGUAAAAAAAAAAAGUCUUUGUUUAGUUAACCUAAGAAGACAUUCCUACUUUUCUUUGUGUCGAGAGUCACCUAAAUGGAAUAAAAUAUUCAAUAUAAUAGGAGAGUAAAAAGUAUUGUAGAAAUGAUUUUGUUGAGAGAGUUAUCUAAAUGGAAUGAGAUAUUGGUAGGUGAAUAAAAUAUUAUGGUGAUUGUAAUAGUUGACUUAGUGAGUGGAGGAGAAGUGUAUGCUUCUUUGUUUAUUCUAUAAAAACAAUAAUUUUAGUAGUUGAAAAUGUGUAUGAAAUGACUGAAAAUAUUUUUUGAAAAAUAAGAAAAUAAUAAAUGGAUAAUAGCUCAUUUCCUAAAAAUCUUUUGAUAAAUUAAAAUAACUUGUAGUUAAAAUAUAUUCUUAUGAAAGUAUUUAAAAAUGAAUCAAUAUAUUAAUAAUUGUUAUUUUGUUUAAAAAUAAUUUAAUAGUAAAAAAAUAAUACUAAAUUCAAAUAUGACUACUUUGUUAUGAGAUUCAUUAAAGAAAUAAUUGUUGAUUUUACAGUUAUUGCAUCAAAGGUUUUACUCGUUUAAUGAAUAGUACAUAAUUUCAUACUUUCAAUUAUUGUGAUAUUAAUGUUAUUCUCAUUUGAUUUCAGUUUGAUGACAAAUAAAACAUAUUCUCAAGUAGAAUUUGAUGAAAUUAGAGAAAAAUAGAUUACUUUUGUGUUAUAACUAAUCAUGAAUCAUAUUGAUGUAUCGUGAUCAUUCAUGAUAAGUCCCUAAGUUGUUAUAUGAUUGAAUUUUCCAUUGAUAUUGUAUAACAUUACUUAUUCUUUACGAACUAUUUUUAUACCAAAAUGAGAAAAAGGAAAAAGAAAAAGAAAACAUUAGUACUUAGAUUUGUUUAUUGUUUAUAACAUCACAUUUUUAUUUUCAAUAAGAACUCUAAAACUCAUUAAACUAUGAAAUGCAGGUAUACACUCUUGGGAGGACAAUAUGAAGAAUAAAAAGAAAGGAGAAAGAGGCAACAAGAUUUAGGUUUUUAGAUAUGACUCUUAUGUCAUACAUUAUAGGACAUAAAUGUUACUUUAUUUGGAAUUGAGAAUUUUGGGUUUUUGGAUGCAACUCUUGUGUCAUUUUAUGGUUAGCCGGUUUUAUGCAUAUGAAAUGCAAGUAUACAUGAAUGUUGGGAAGCUUAACAUUUCUAAAUCAUGUUUUAAUGUGUAUUCACUUUUCUUUUUUAGUUUUGAUGGGUUUGAUGUGUUUGAUGUACUAUCAUUUUGUGAACAUUUGAUAUACAAAUAUUAUUGGAUGAUGUAAUAUGUUACAAAUUAAUUCAUAAGCAUUAUGAAAAUAUAAGUUAAAUGUAAUAUGAUUAUUAUAUUUAUGGACAAUUUACACAGGUUAGUCUUAUUUAUUAAUAAGCAUUACAAAAAUCUACAAACUAAUCAACAAAAAACAACCAUAUCUUCCAUAAUCAUUUACAAUGAUGUGACACCAUAAAUUAAAGGUGAUACAUUUAACGUGACACCAUAACUCAAAGAUGAUGCAUUUAAUAUGACACCUUAUAUAUCUCAUACAACUCUAUAUCAAAUUAAGCAUCACUAAAAAUAUAUGGUGUCUCUUCUGAAUGUGUCACCAUUUAUCUACUUUGGUGUCGCUUCCAAAUACGUCACCAAUUGAUACCCUCUAUGGUGUCAGUGGAUAAGGUGACGCUAUGUUGUAGUGACACCCUAUGUUUAUAGUGACUUAUUAUAAAUGUCACCAUAUAUCUUUUUCCUUGUAGUGAAGUUCCGAAGGAUUAGUUAUGGUUUUAGUAUGAGAUUUGUUUUAAAACUUUUAAUAAAUUUAAUAACAUCCCACUAUGCAUUUAUACUAUUUGUCAAGUAAAUAAGAACUUAUUUUCCUUUGAUUUCAUUUAGUUUUGAUUUUAUCGAUCUUUAUAAUUAUUUUAUCUUUUAUCAAAUAAUUUGUUCACUUUUAUAUGCUUAAGGCCAUAGUUCAGCUCAAGUGAGAAAAAAAAAUCAUUGCUAAUUCUCAAUUAAUUAAUAAUAAUUUUUUUAAUGUAAAUUACCCAUUACAAAUUUAUCACUUUUUUGAUAUUCAUAUUUUAUUUUAUUUUUUUUAAAUCUUUUAUCUAAAUCUAACUAUUAGAUUUUUAUUUUUUUUCUUAACAUUAAAGGAGAGUUGAUGCACCCGUCAAAGUCUUCAUCUAUAAUAGAAGAAAAACGACAAAUAUUUUGUUGUUGAUUGCAAUUCUCAUUAGCUGGACCUGCGUCUUAUACGUUUUUGUAGGUAACAAUGGUUGUCACAACUAGGAAGAGUCGUGGUUGUCUCGGCUAGGAAGAGUUGUGAUUGUCUUUGUUAGGAAGAGACAAUAAAAUCUUUGGUGGAGGUGAAUACAUGUGGUCCAUGUUUGCAUUGGUGGUGGCCUAUAUCAUAUUGGUGGUGCCAUAUAUAAUAUAUUUUUAGAUUAAAUGACCCAAAUAUUGGGUAACAUUUUUAGAUUAAACAACUAAAACUAGAUUAUGUGAUUGAAAUUAUCAAUAUCAAAUGUAAAAUAUGAUUGCUACUUUUGAAAGCAAAUUAUAAGAACCUUUGAAUAGGUACAAAUUUAUUUGAUAUUUUAGGUCUGUGCCAUAAUUAUGAAAAUAUAGAUAUUUUUUGUUUUAAAAAAAUGCAACAUUAAUUAAAAAAAAUGAAAAAUAAAUGGAAAAUUCAAGUCUUGAAAAAUAUUUGUUUAAAGAAAUUCAAAAAAUAAAAUAAAUUUACAAAUUGUUAUUCAACUUUUGAGUAUUCAUUAUAUAAUAUUAAAAUUCAAGUGCAAUAAAACUAUUAAGAGAGGUAGUGAAACCUUUAAGUUCCAAAAUAUUAGUUAUGUUUUUAGUAUAAGAUUUAUUUUUAAACUUUUAAUAAAUUUAAUAACAUCCCACUGUGAAUUUAUACUAUUUGUCAAGUAAAUAAGUACUUAUUUUACUUUGAUUUCAUUUUGAUUUUAUCAAUCUUUAUAAUUAUUUUAACUUUUAUCAAAUAAUUUGUUCACUCUUAUAUGCUUUAGGCCAUAGUUCACCUCAAGUGAGAAAAAAAAAAAUCAUUCCUAAUUCUCAAUUAAUUAAUUAAUAAUAAUUUUUUAAUGUAAAUUACUCUUUACAAAUUUAUCACUUUUUUUAUAUUUAUAUUUUAUUUUUUAAAACCUUUUGUCUAAAUCUAACUAUUAGAUUUUUUUUUCUUAAUGUUAAAGGGGAGUUGAUGCACCAGUCAGAGUCUUCAUCCAUAAUAGAAGAAAAAAGACAAAUAUUUGGUUGUUGAUUGCAAUUCUCAUUAGCUGGAACCACGUCUUAUAUGUUUUUGUAGGUAACUAUGGUUGCUUCGGCUUGGAAGGGUUGUGACUAUCUUUGUUAGGAAGAGACAAUAAAAUCUUUGGUGGAAGUGAAUACAUGUGGUCCUAUGUUUGCAUUGGUAGUGCCCUAUAUCAUAUUGGUGGUGGCCGAUAUGAUAUAUUUUAGUAUUUUAGAUUAAAUGACCCAAAUAUUGGGUAACAUUUUUAAAUUAAACAACUAAAACUAGAUUAUGUUAUUGAAAUUAUCAAUAUCAAAUGUAAAGUAUGAUUGCUACUUUUGGAAGCAAAUUAUAAGAACCCUUAAAUAUGUACAAAUUUAUUUGAUAUUUUUGGUAUGUGCCAUAAUUAUGAAAAUAUAGAUUUUUUUUUUCAGAAAAAUGCAAAUUAAUUAAUACAAAUGAGAAAUAAAUGGAAAAUUUAAGUCUUGAAAAAUAUUUAUUUAAAGAAAUUAAAAAAUAAAAUAAAUUUACAAAUUGUGAUUCAAUUUUUCAAUAUUCAUUAUAUAAUAUUAAAAUGAAAAAUUCUAGAGUACCAAAUUGAUACUAUACCAAAAAAAAAAUUUUCUAGCCGUUGGAUGUCCAAGAUUAGAUCUUGACCAUUCAUUUUAAAUUUGGGGGAAAAAAAACCAAGAUAACCUGUUAAGGAAGUAAUUAGUUCUCUCAUUCUCUCUUCUUCAUUUUGUCUUUUUUGCCUUCGUUGUGACUUCAUUUUGUCCAUUUUUCUUCCACAUGGACUAUAAAUGCACCUAUAUUUUAAAAUAUUAUAAUUUCAUAUUGUUUCAUAUAUAGAGUGGCCUAAUGAUUUUUUUUUUUUCCAACAUAUUGAUGAGAAAGUGCAUAAAAUAUGUAACUACAGUUAAACAAUUAAUAUUUUACUUUCUAUGCUAGCGCUUAUCAUUUCUCAUCUUUUUCCAGAUUUAACACAUGAUUUUAAUUAAUGUCAAUGCUGCAAGCCCUCUUUUUAAAAGAUAUUUACAAAAAAGCUUGGGCAUUGUAGUUUAGAUGGAGAUUGUCAUUAUAUUUAUAUAUGUUACCUGCGAGGUACCUGGAAUCUACACCAUUUUAUGUCCUAAAAAUUUUGUGCCUAAAAAGCUUUAGCAUAUACCAUAUUUGUAUACCAAUUAAAUGUCAUGUCACAUUGCAUAUACAAGAUUUUAUUGAUCCAACUCCGACCCUCCAACUCAUGUAAACAUGGAUAGAUCCAAACCAGUGGACAAGGUAGAAAAUUUUAUUAUGGGGGUAAAAUAGGAAAAUUAUAAAUUAUAAUAAUAUUAGAUAGAAUUCAUAAUUUGAAAUAUUUUAAACUUAUUUUUUAUAUUUUUAAAAUAAUUUUUAUCUAUAAUAUUUUAAUUUUUGAUCAUUCUCUAUAUUUAUAUAAUUAUUUAUUAAAAAAUAAGUAAAAUAUGCUAUCAUAAAUUCCUUAUUUUAUAUUUUUAAAAAUAGAAAAAUAUUUUCUAUUUUUUUUAUUAUCAAAUAUGUUUUCUUUCUUUUUCUUAUUUCUUAAAAACAUAAAAGUAUUUUUGAAAACAACUUCCAAACAUACCAUAUACAUCUCAAACUUUUCAAAUUUUUAUAAAAAGAUAAAUUUGAAAGAGCAUAUACAAAAUUUUUAUUUAAUAUAACCCUAUUUUUUUAUAAUUUCCUUAACACCUAUCAUUGUGGCUUCCAAUUUUAAUCACAAUUGUGAAUUGUAAGAGGCAAUUGAAAUCAAUGUACUCCAUGUACAUUAUGCACUAUUUUAUCCAACAUUAACUUCUAAAAAUAUUUUAUUAAAAUGAUUAAAUAACACCUAUAUUUGGAAAAAUAAAUUUAAUAUAUAUAUAUUUAAAAGUAAUAGGUUGACUCGCCCUUUAUACAAUAGUGUUUGUUGAUUUUUUAAAUCAACCAUGAUGGUGCUUUCAGUCUUUUAGUUAGUUUCCAAAUCAGAAAACACGAGUUAUGUCAGUGUAAAAAUCAUGGUGACCAGGUGAGGAUGUAUGGAGGUACCACUAGUCGAUGGUACUUAGGGAAUGUCUCAUUUCUUUAUUUAGGGUUGGAAUUGACUACAUCCUCCCAGCGUACUUGGUCAACACAUACCUAUUUUUGGUACCAUCAAUAUUCAUUCUUUAAAGUUUGUGUUUUUAAUAACCUUUUAAUAAUCCAAUAACCUAAAUUUUGCAAUGUAGAUGAUAAGCAUAAAUAUAAAAUACUAAAUUCAUAUUUAAGAAGAGUAGUAUUUUAUUUAGACAUGAGAUUGGAAACACGGGCUCCAACAAUACAAUAUUGUACUUAAUAAAAGCCCAGCUAGGCCUCGGCACUACUCUCCCAACUGCCACCAUAUAAUUGCAUUAAUUUCAUUUUGCAUGCACGCACCUUCGUAAUCCACGGAAUAAUGGAUGGUUCCGGGGUGAAUUCCAAAACGUUGUGGCAUCAGCGAUGAUUGGGAAAGAAGCGACUGGGAGCUGGGAGACAAAAUAAUUCUUUCCCGGCACCACCAUAUGUGCUCGAUCCGCUGCUAAAUUGGUAAGUUAAGUCCAGGAUUUUUAUGGAGUUCUCGCUCGUAAAGUUGUAACAGAGUGUCAAACCGGUGGCAGCUUCGAGUUCAAUAACUCUUUUAUACUUGGACAUCUGCUUCUUCAACUCAGCUGCCACAAUAUUAAAAACCGUUCUUGUCAUGUAUCCUAAGCCUGAGUCUAUUAUGAGCUCACCUCUCCGGUCGGAUCCCGGAGCCAGAUACUUUCGUGGAAUCCUCAGGAGUUUGUCGCCGGUCAUGGUAUCUUUGACACCUAUGUAGUAAUAAAUUAACAGGAAAGUCAUCUGGGUUCUUGAGAAAGGGAGCUUAGCUAAGUCCUUUGGUUUCCCCAUCAGGGUAAUCCAAAAUCAAUUCGCCGUGAGAAUUGAGACAGUAAGCGAACUUCUUCACACCCAUCUACACCGACGAGCAAUGAGAAUAGUAUGCGACUGAAUCCCGCAAGUGCCGUUGUUGUACGAAGUAUGUGGAUGAUAUAAUUCUCCAUAACGAUGAUAAUACAAUUCCUAUGAUGUCCAUCUAUUGAUCAUGCAUGUAAUUCUAUUGUUAUUUAAUAAUAUAAUAAUAUUACAUCAUAUAUUUUUAUAUAUGUAUAGACGUAAGCAAAGUAUAUGCAUUACCGAACCGUUCCUCUUAUCAUUUUGUAAUUAAAUGAGUGUCAACAUUCUCACAUCCAUUAUUUUUGUUCUUGAGCAUCUCAUAAAACAUCAUUGUCGGGUAUUGUAUGACCAGAAUUUAAUGCAUAAUAUUUCAAAAAAAAAAAUUAAUUUUUUUUAUAUUAAUUAUUUGUCAUGAUUUAAAAGAAAAGGCCCAAUUGGAAGCACGGGUACGUAAUCAAUAUUUUUACCCAUUUUUAUAGGAUCUAUGUGACUAAUCAAUUUUCUUCAUAAAAAAAACAAGCAUAAAAAAUCUUGUUAAUUUUAGAUAAAAUUAUGCCCCAUACAACUAUCAACCUAAUAAAUCCAUAAAUCAAUUUAUAUCACAUACAAUUCAUUCCUUUCUAUUAAUGCAGAUUGGAUAAUAAUAACUACUAUGACAUUUGAAAGGGCUAAAAGUUUGAUUCACCUCGAUAAAAAAGGACUUUAAAAUUGAACCUCCUUCGAGCAGUUCAUGGAAAAUUCCACACUUGAAAAAGUUUGCAUAAAAAAAAAAAAAAAAGUUACUGCAAGCAUGAGAAAAGCCAUAAAUCAUAAUCCCAAGGCAUAUCAAGUUGCCAUCCUGCUGACAAUGAAAAAGGAAGAAAUAAAUCCAAUCAAGGAAACUUCCUAGAAAAUCAUAUCAGCUACCACUCUACUCUAACAAGUGAAACAAAGGGGGAAAAAAUCAAUUAAGGAAACUUCGUAGAAAAAGCCAACAAGGAAGUUUUCUUGAGUAAGUAUAAAUAAAAGCUAUAAAUAGUAAAUACUUAUGGGAAGGAACAAUCCAAUUGAGGAAACUUCCUAGAAAAAGCCUAAAAGGCAAACAAGGAAUUUUCCCGAGCACAAAUAAAAGUUAUAAAUACUAGAGGGCAAGGGGGUAAAGGGCAAGUCUCUCUUCACUCGUUCAUCCAAGGGCGGAGUCAACAUAUGCUUUGGGAAAUUAGAUAAGUAUUGUGUAUGGACACAAAAUAUAUUUAUAAAAUAUUUGUUUGUUUUCAUUUUUAAUUUAAGUUUAAUAUUUAUAAAAUUAAAUUUAUUUAAAUCCUAAUAUAUAUAUAUAAUAUUCUUCUAAAUAUUUUUUUUAUAUAUAAUUUUGUAUUGAAUACUUUAUUAAAUAUUUUUUGGUGGUAAGUUAUCUUUUAUUUUAUUUUAAGAUUUUAAAGUUUUUUGGACUUUUAGGUUUAAUCAAAUACUCACUAAUUUAUGAAUAAUUAUAUAAUUAUGAUAAUUAUAUCACUCACAACUCUUUUCUCUUAUACCAAUUUUUUAUAAAAUGGAUAUUCCCUCUACCCAUAAUUUUUUCCAUCUAGAGUUUUUUUUACGUAUAUCUAUAUGUUUUUAUUCAAUUUUUUCUAUUGUUUGUUCUCGUUGUUUCGUAACAUAUAUUAUAGAUAACAUUUAAAUAAAAAAUUUAUUACUAUCAAAUGAUUUAUUUUUUAAUUAUUGAAAAAAAAUCAAAGAAAAAUUAUUAGAGAAAUUAUUGAAUUUUUCUAAAAAGUUCUCUAUAACAAAUAUUUCUAAAAAUUAUUAAAAAUAUUUUAGUCAUAUUUAUUACAAUAUUUUUAAGAGUUUUAAAAAAAAUAUUAUUUGAACUUUUUAACGAACUUUUUGUUAAAAUCUAAAACUCUUUAAUAUGUUUGUGAUUUAAUUUGAUAAAUUAUAAUAUUUUCUUUUUUUAUAUAUAGCUAAUGUCAAUAAUUACUUAUUUUAUUGAAUGGAAUAAUGUUGUAGAGUCAUUUAUAAAAUAUGAAAAUUUAUCUAUAUUUAUUAUAAUCAUCGUAUACUAUUUCAUCCCAUCACCAAAAAUUCUAGCUUUGGUUUGGCACUGCAUCCACGACAAACAAAAGUAAUUUAUCUUCUUCAAUGAGAGUAAAAAGGGGUAACUCCCCCCUAAGGUUCCCCUCUAUCAAAUCCAUCUUUGUAUCUACCAAACAAAUUAAUUCUCCCCUCUCUGCCAAAUCCAUCUUUGUAUCCACCAAAGAAAUAAAUUCUCCUCUCUCUACCAAAUCCAUGUUUGUAUCCACCAAACAGAUGAAUUCUCCCCAUUCUAUUUCAACAUCAAAAUGACGUAUGAGUGGCUUUUGGAUGUAAAAUUAAUAGUUACGUAACAUUAGGAUUUUACGAAGUGGAAAUAGACUUCUAGAACAAAUAAAAUUUUAAUUACAGAUAUUAAACAUAUUCGAUAAUUAUAAUUUUUUUUUUUAAAAAAAAAAGAAAAUAUUUUUUUUGCUAAUUAAUUAUAUAAUAAAUAAAAAACUAAUGAUUUCUCAACUAUCUUUAUUAUUUAUAUGCAAGAGACUAAUUUUAUAGAAAAAAGUGAGCUCUCAAGCACACACUUGAAAAUAAUCCAAUAAUAAAAAUACUUUAAAAAUAAAGUUUUAUAUGCUGGAAAAUUAAAAGUAGUAUUUAAAAUUAUUAAAUGUAAUACAUAUAUUAUUAAAAAAAUAGUACCUAUAUAAUUAAUUAAAAAUACAUAAAAUUAUAAUUAUUUUUUAAGUAAAUCACUUAAUUGAAAAAUAUAUAAACUUCUAAUUAUUUUUAAAUAAAUUUUUAUUAAAUUUAAAUUUUCUAAACUCGGAAUUCUUAUUUUAUGAUUUUUUUUAAAGUAUAAAAACACACUUUUUUCAAUUUUUUAUUAGUUUGGUGACCAAGAAUAGGAUUGGGUGGACUCAUGGGUGUAAUUUUUCAUUUUAAAAUUUGUUUAAAAACUCCGAGAAUAAGAGUUCUUUUAUACCUUUAUUUUUUAAAUUUUUGCUAUGAAAUUGCGAAAGUAAAAAAUAUGCCAUUAAACAUGAUUUUAAAAUUUUUAAUUAUAAAAAUAAAAAUACCAUCGAAAGCUCCAUAAUUUGUAUUUACUAAGCUUCUUUUAUUUAGACCGGAGACUGUAAACACAAAGCCUUUCCGGUGCUCCAACAGUACAGGCAUGUCGGUAAUAAAGAGUAGGCAGUAUUCUCCCAACUGCCAUCUUCCUCUUACAUUACUUAACAAUACUGCAGGAUCCUCCUAGGUUCCCAUUAUUUACUAUUUCUUUGCCGCACCCAACUAGACCCAUUGGCAUGGAUGUCAUAGACUAGCAAGUCUGUCGUCGGAACCCAAGACGCUCAUUUUUGAGGUCAUACUCCACAUAAUAAUCCACAUGCUGAGAAUUCCCCAGAAUAAUAGACGGUCCCGGAGUGAAUUCCAUAGUGUUGUUGCCUGCAUCAGUGACCAUGGGUAAACAAGCCACGAGGCUUGUCUCAAGCCUAGACAUUAAUAAAUAAUUCAUUCCUGCGACCACCAUAUUUGCGCCACCUCUAAAUUGGUAAAUUAAGGGGGGGAUUUUUAUGGAUUUGUGGCCUGUGAAAUUAAAACAAGGCGUGAGACCGGACUGGGUUUCUGCCUCGAGAGAUCUCCUAUACUUGGACAUCUGCUUUUUCAGUUCAUUUGUCACUAUCUUAAAAACCGGUCGUGUCAUGUAUCCGUACGCGAAACCAGAAUCUAUCAUGAGACCACCUCGGCCGUCAGAUCCUGGAGCCAGAUACUUGCUUGGAAUCCUGAGGAGCUUGUUUCCGAUCUUGAUAUCUUUGACACCCAAGUAGUAGUAAAACGGGAAGUCAGGAGGGUUCUUGAGAAAGGGAGUGUAGAAAAGUCCUUUGGUUUUGCCAUCACUGUAGUCCAAAACCAACUUGCCGCUGUUCCGGGUGUCAUCGUAGUAGUGAGAAUUGAGACAGUAAGCAAACUUCUUCACACCCAUCUGCAUCGGCAACGAGAACAUUGUGCGACCGAACCCCGCAAAUCCGUCAGAAGUAGGUAGACGAGCAGCGGAUGUUGUACACCCAACAAGAAAUGUAUGAAUUGUUUUCGCGGGAAAAUUGAGGUUUUCUAAUAGAAAAUAUCCAGAUGAUGCUCCUCCGCCAUACUGAAGACGGUACCGUGGGCAAGCGUGAGAGCAAUUUUUGGAAUUGCCAUUGCAGCGGGGGCACCCAAGGUGAACAUCUGGGGAAGAAGUGUUUACACAUUUGGGAUUUCUGCACCCCAGGAUCUUAGAAGACGACGAAAGUUCGGGAUUGAAAAUUGGGGCUUUUUUGGGGCCGGCAUCUGAAAAAGAACAGUUGGUGCAUGUAUAGUGAGUUGUACAAAGAGUCCAUACUACAUGACUUCCUGUGUCCACCAGGAAGGAGAGUUUUUGUGGAGGAGUGCCGAAGCUGAGAGGGAUGGUGUGACCCCCAUAACUAUGAGGAAAAAGAGAGGUUUUUACGAGAGGGUUGGUCUUACCAUGUUUCAAGUGAUGGACUCUAGACAAGGAUGCAGAGGCUGAAAGUUUUAGAAACUGGGUUUCAGAAACUGGGAAAAACCAAUAUUUCUCAUUGUCUAUUAAGAAAAGAUGAUGAGUAUUUUUACACUGACGUUUUCUUAUAUUUAUAUCUACAACAACCUAACUAACUAACUUCCUUCUUCAAGACGUUCUUAACCGGCUUCUGUUUGUUGCAGCUGACCUCAGUUUGUUGCACCUGAUCUCGGUUUGUUGCAGCUGACCCCGGACAGUUACUUUCUUGUUGAUCAGCUAGGUAUCUUCUAUCAUCCCCCCGCAAGCUCACAGGGGAGGGAACAACAGAUAGCUUCGUUCUGAAACUAAGGAACUGGGAGCUUGAAAUAUGUUUAGUGAAAAUGUCAGCAACCUGUUCAGCGGAAGGAAGAUACUGAAUGACGAGCUGUUUACGAAGAACAUGAUCCCGUAUAAAGUGAAGAUCCAUUUCAAUGUGUUUGGUCCUAGCAUGGAACACGGGAUUUGCAGCCAAGUGAGCUGCACUUUUAUUAUCACACCAAAGUAGAGGUGGAGAGGAGGAAGAGAGACAAAGUUCUUGUAGAACAUAUUGAAUCCAAAUCAUCUCUGAAGUAGCAGACGCAAGAGCACGAUACUCAGAUUCUGCACUGCUGCGAGACACAACCUUUUGUUUGUUGGAAGACCAUGACACUAAAUUCGGACCAAGGAAGAUGCCAUAGCCACCGGUGCUUCUUCUGUCAUCUGGACAAGAUGCCCAGUCGGCAUCAGUAUAGCCAUGAAUAUCCAACGAGGUGGACUGCUGCAUCUGAAUGCCAUAGGAUAAAGUGCCUUUGAGAUAUCGUAAAAUCCGUUUCACAGCAAGCCAAUGAGUAGUAGUGGGUGUAGCCAUGAAUUGACAAGCCUUAUUAACAGCAAAAGAAAUGUCUGGUCUGGUAAGGGUAAGAUACUGAAGCGCACCAACCGUGCUGCGAUAUAAGGUGGCAUCCGAGAAAGGUUCACCAUCCAGAUGAGAUAAUGUUUGUCCUAACAGUCCCGGAGUAGUAGCAGGCUUGGAGUCUAACAUGGCUGUGCGAGAUAAGAGGUCUUGUGUGUACUUGUGCUGACUGAGAUGAAACAUAGUACCAGAACUAACUACUUCUAUGCCCAGAAAAUAAUUGACAUAGCCCAGGUCACGAAGAGCAAAAGAAUAAUUCAGCCGAGUAAUAAAUGAGGAAACUUGAGCUGAACUGCUGCCAGUUACUAGUAUGUCGUCUACAUAAAUGAGUAAAAUAAGGACAUCAUGUGUUGAAUGAUGAAUGAACAUCGAACUGUCAGCUCGAGAAGCUUGAAAUCCCCAGCCAAGAAGUGAAGUGCUGAGUUUGUUAUACCAUGCCCGGGGGGCCUGCUUAAGGCCAUAUAAAGCCUUGUUAAGCUUGCAAACAUGAGAAGGAUAUUGAGAAUUGAUAAAGCCCGGGGGUUGUUGCAUAAACACAUGCUCUUCAAGAUCUCCAUGGAGAAAGGCAUUCUGAACAUCAAGUUGGUGAACUGACCAGUUAAAUGAGAGUGCAACUGCAAGUAUAAUGCGGAUAGUAGAAGCCUUGACAACUGGACUAAAAGUCUCAAAAUAAUCGAGACCCAGAGUUUGAGUAAAUCCUUGUGCAACUAACCGGGCCUUAUAGCGAUCAACUGUUCCAUCGGGUUUAUAUUUGAGUUUGUAGACCCAUUUACAACCAAUUAUAUUGCCAUUGGAGGGUGGUGGAACUAGAUGCCACGUGUUGUUUCUUUGGAGAGCAGAAAACUCUUUUUCCAUGGCAAGAACCCAAUUUGAAUCUUUAACAGCCUGUGUGAAUGUAGUAGGUUCAGAGAUGUGAGAUGAGAAGUAGACCUUCUUCUUGCUGAUGCCAUUCUUUGCACGUGUGACCAUGGGAUGCUGAUUAGUAGGGUGAGGUUCAGAAGUGGAGAUGUCAGCAAAAGGAACUUGUAUCAGGUCUGGUAAAGAAAUAGUGGAGGAAGGCAUAUUAGUUAACGGUGGGCUUGAGGUGGAAGGAGUUGUAUGAGAACGUAGUGAGGACACGGGAGGAGAUGAGCAAGGAAGAAAGGCUGGAGUGGGGAUAGUAACUACAGAUGAGGAUUGAUCCGGAGUAGACUGAAAUGGGAAUACCGUUUCAUGAAACACAACAUGCCUAGUAACAUAGAGACGGCCUGUCAAGGGGUUAAGACACAUAUAGCCUUUGUGAUUGGAACUAUAGCCAAGGAAAACGCAUUGACUGGAGCGAUAGGAGAGUUUAUUUUUGUUGUAUGGUCGAAUAUAAGGGUAGCAUAAGCAACCGAAAAUUUUAAAGAUGUGAUAAUUUGGUGAUUUGCCAAAAAGAAUUUGAAAGGGAGAUUGAUAAUUGAGAACCUUAGUAGGUAGCCGAUUUAUAAGGAAAAUAGUUGUAUGAAAUGCAUAUAGCCAAAACUUGAAAGGUAAGGAUGCAGUGGCUAAUAGAGCAAGACCAGUUUCAAUUAUAUGUCGUAAUUUGCGCUCCGCUCGACCAUUCUGUUCAGGUGUGUAUGGACAAGAAAACUGACUUUUAAUACCAUGCGUAGCAAGAUAUGAAGAGAAGGCUUUAAAUUCACCACCAUUAUCAGACCGUAAACAUUGUAUCCGAGAAUUAAACUGAUUUUCAACUAGACUUUUGAACUUUAUGAAUACAGAUAAUGCUUGAUCUUUGCUGUGCAAUGGAUAAAUCCAAGAGAAACGAGAGAAAUCAUCAACAAACAAAAUGAAGUAGCGUGCACCAGUUGUGGACGGAAUGGAAGCAGGGCCCCAAAGAUCAGCAUGAAGUAAAGCUAAAGGAUGAGAAGCUCUAGAAACAGACACAUUGAAAGGCAAUUUAUGACUUUUUGCAAAUUGACAAGCACAACAGACAUUGUUUUUAUGGCAUUGAUGUGAAAUAUUACAAGAGGUAAGAAUGUGUUUCAAGAUAUUAUCAGCAGGGUGUCCAAGCCGAGAAUGCCAAAGUGUAGUUGUGGUUGUUAAAGAAAGAUUGGAAGACCUGUCAUAACUGGAAGAAACAAAAGCUGCAGGUGAAGGCACAAAUCUGGCAGGGAAUCUAUAUAAGCCAUGUUCAAGACUUCCUUGAAGAAGUAUCUUCUUGGUGACCUGAUCCUUGACAAAAAAGAAUCGAGGAUGAAACUCAAAGAAAGUAUUAUUAUCGGCACAAAACUGUGAGACACUAAUGAGAUUAGUAGCAAUAUCAGGAACGUGAAGUACUUGUCUCAGUUGAAAGGUUUUAGAAGAGGAAGGAAAGAAAGUAGUGCCUGUAUGUAAAAUACGAAGGUGCUUACCAUUCCCAACAAUCACCUUGUCAUUACCCAUGUAUGGCUGUACAUCUGAGAGUGGAUCAAUACUUUGUGAUAGGUGAUGUGUAGCACCAGUGUCAAAAAACCAUGCCUCAUCAGAUAUAGUGGAAGGAGAUGCCAUCAUAGCUUGUACUUGAUUCUUGGCAUUUGGUUUAUUGGUUUGAACGGUGUCCAUAUUAGGGUUGUAGCCUUGGAAGUUAAUAUCAAACCUAUGGUAGCAGCGAACGACGGUGUGCCCAAACUUGCCACAAAGCUGGCACUGUGGUCGAUGCUGAGAUGAUUGUGAGCGCCCACCAUUUGUACCUCUUCUUGUGUUGAACCCAGACUGCCUAUUUUGACCAGAGGAUCUUUUAUUGUUAAAAUGUUGAUAUUGUGGUGUAGCAAGAUUAGCAGAGAUGACGUUAUCUUCUGCAACUGAAUUCUGAAAGCUAAGUCGUUGUUCAUGGGUGAGUAAAAUGCUGUGUACAGAGUGGAGAGACAUCUCAUCUUCACGUGCUGUAAGAGAGGCUACUAUGGAGUUGUAGUCUGCCCCAAGACCUCCAAGAAGUUGGAGGAUUUGAUCUCUAUCAGUCACAGGUUCUCCAAUGGCCGCCAAAUUAUCGGCCAAACUCUUUAGUUUAAGAAUGUAUUCCAUCAUUGUCAAUGAACCUUUCCUUGUGGUUUGGAACUCUAGGCGUAGUUGCAUCACCCUAGCCCUUGAAGAAGCCGAAAAGAUUCGUUCUAAAGCAAACCAGGCUGCAUGAGAGGAUUGAUAGCCAACUAUCUGGCCCAUGAUUUCAGGAGUGAGUGAGGAGUAGAUCCAGCUAAGGAUCAUGCGAUCGAAUCGUCGCCACAUAACAAAAUCUGGGUUUGUUUCUCCAGAACUUGUUUUCUGAGGUGGACAAAUUUUCAGACCUUCAAUAUGAUCUUCAAAACCAUUGGCAAAGACAACGUUCUCCAUUUGUGUUCUCCAAAGAAUGUAAUUGUUUCUAUCAAGUUUGAUCGGCAGUGCAUGAUUCAGCAUCUGCAUUGUUUGAGUAGCACCGGUAGAUGAAGGUAGGGUACCAGCUUGUAACCCUGAUGACUGUGUUGAACUCAUCAUGAAUAGAAUAGAGGUUAUCUACAAAGAACUAAAACUGAUAUGAAGAAGAAGAAGUCUUGUAAAAAAAAAAAAUACCAAAGCUCUGAUACCAUGAAAGUUUUAGAAACUGGGUUUCAGAAACUGGGAAAAACCAAUAUUUCUCAUUGUCUAUUAAGAAAAGAUGAUGAGUAUUUUUACACUGACGUUUUCUUAUAUUUAUAUCUACAAUAACCUAACUAACUAACUUCCUUCUUCAAGACGUUCUUAACCGGCUUCUGUUUGUUGCAGCUGACCUCAGUUUGUUGCACCUGAUCUCGGUUUGUUGCAGCUGACCCCGGACAGUUACUUUCUUGUUGAUCAGCUAGGUAUCUUCUAUCAGAGGCAAGGUGUUGGAGAAAGACCAUGGGUUCCGUGGAUAGUUUGCUUGUAAAUGUUGAGGUUAGAGGGAUGGUAAUGGUGGCAGGUAUGUUAUCUUCGGAGGAGGAUGCAAAGAAAAGGAUAGAGAAAACGGUGAAGACAGAGAAAAGCAAAGAAGUAGAAGAAGCCAUGGCUGUGUAGCUUCAGAAGCGCACACUAGUGGAAGUGGUAGAGAGAGUCGUUUAUAUGGACAAUGACAAGCGGUUAGGCAACAUUUAUAAUCCGUGGGCAAUUCAAAGUGCAGAGAAACAGUAAAUGGUUUGGUUUGGUUUUUUUAUUAUUAUUAUUAUUAUUUUUUUAAUAAAAGAUUGUUGAAGAGAUUGUUUGAAAAAUAAAUGUAAAAUUAUGUCAUGUUUAAUAAUUUUACUUUAUAUUACAUAUUUUACUUGUGUGAUAAUUUUAUGGAAUUCACUUUUUAUAUUAAACUCUUCUUUUUAAAGAAAGAUUUUAUUUUUUAUAUUGAAAGUUUUUCAAUCAACCUUAUCUUUCCAAAAAAUGAGUUUAACGUGAUUUUUAAAAUUACUUUUAAUAAAACAUUUUUACAUUUUUUGUUAAAAUAUUAUUAUAAUUAUUCAAAAAGCUCAACAAAUGAACAAUACAACAAUGAAGUGACACUAUUAAGUAUUGGAAGAAUGCAUGCGUAAUUUUUUCAUUAGAAAGAAACAAGAACAUUAAGCGGUUUACACUUUUUCAAAAAUGCUUACGGAGAAGAAAAUGGAAGCUGACCCAAGCCCACCCCUAAAAUUUCAUGGACAAGAUUAAGGAGGGCGUAUAAGUCUUCAAUUAUCAUUUUGGUUUUUGCUUUCAAUACCUUUUUGGCUUUCUUUAAUUAGUUUCGAAUUGGUCCCUAUUCUAUUUUUCCAAUACUUAGAUGCGAAGGUUUAAUACCCUACUCCACCAUUCCCUUGUGAGCUCAAAUAUCCUUUUAUCGGCAAAACGACAGAAUGUAUUUGAUUGACCAAAGAUUCCAUUAUCUCUUCCUUGUGGAGACAACCAUGCUUGCUUGCAAAAGCAUACAUGGCACAAAUCCAUGUGAAUGUCAUCACCAUCGAAAUGUCUUUUUCCUUGGUUUGUUUCUUUCUUUCUUUUUCCUUUUGUUCCGUUUCUUUUUUUCUUCCUUUUAAACGUCAUGUUUUGUAUUUGUGGGUCAUGUCUUGUGUGUGUAGAGACCACAACUCUAAAUCAUGUAGUUUAUUGCUACUUUUGUGGCUAGGUGUAUUUUCUCUCUGUGAGGAGACUCUCGGUCGCUGAGUCAGCUCCUCUCUAACCUUAAGAGUUAGAUUUAGAAAUAAAGAUAUACCAGGAAAAUAAAAUAAAAUAUAAAUAUUAAGAAGUAAAUUUGUAAUGGAUAAUUUUUAUUUUUUAUUUUAAAUUAUUUUUUUAUGGAAACUGAAGAAAAUUUUGUUCAAUUUUAAUUAAAAGAAAUAAAAAUGAUGAAGUGUUUUAAUAAGAAAUAUUGGAUUGUAUCAACAUCUUCGUAUGGUUGACACCAAGCCUCUUGUGGUGAUACCUUACACUCAUGAGUGCCUAUGGCAUGUGGGAUAACAUGCCAUGAACAAAACAAGGUGACAAGCGAGAGUAAGGAAUAUGUUGAUGCAAAUGGAAUGAUGUCAUGAGUUUAGGUAAAUGCUAGAUAAUGGCUUAAGGGUGGUAGUAUGUGAUGUCAUGAGUUUAGUCAUGCAAGCAUAGACAUGUAAGGCACCACGUGGGUGGCUUAACUCAUAAAAAAAAAUCAAGUAUGGGAUUUUUGGAAGUUGAUAUUUUACUUCAAAGAAAAUAACUUGAGAAAAGGUUUUUAUUUCUGUAAUUUUAAAAAAUUCAUUAUGAAAUAACUUGAGAAACACCUAUGAUAUCUUCUCCUCACACAUUGAAAUAACUUAAAUGCUCUUUAGGAAGGGAUGUCUAGCUCAAAGGUAGUGAUGAAGGCACAAGUUAUACAACAUCAAAAGCACAAUAUGAGUCUCAAGCACCAAAAAGGUGUGAUGGUUUUUCUUGUUAGCUCACACACAUAAGUGUAAUGUCAUAAGUAUGGUGCAACAUGUGGGCAUAAUGACACAUGAUUUGGCUAUUGUACACGUUAUAAGCUAUGCAUGCCUUGGAUUGAAGAAUCUAACAAACUUGACAUGUACAGGACAAUGAUGUAAUGGGCAUGGGAUAAAAAAAGAGCUAGUGCACCAAGAAAAUAUUACAAAAGUAUGUAGGCUAAGAGAGGGCUUGGCACAUAUGGGCUACUUACACACAACAAUAGGUUGGAUGACCCUCAUAGGCACGACCAAAUAUAACACUUGCUUUAAGAAAAGGCCAAGCGAGGGCUAACAAUAAGGCAUAACACAUGGAGACACAAGGUUGGGUUGAAGAAACAAUGAUAUGAAGGGGAUAUAAGUAAGUGUAAAGGCGACAUGACAACUAAGUGGGUCGUUGAGCUUACAGGCAGGUGGCAAGAUCAAAAGUCAACAAUGCAUGUAGCAAAACAAAUGACAAAUGACUAAAACCUUUGAAAGAGUCCAUAGGAGAGAUGGCAAUAGUUAAACCAUUUGACUUCAAAUUUGAAGGAGUCUACUUCCUAUAUAAGACGGAGUUGGUUAACCGAUCUCUAUCACGUGGGUAGGGUUUGGAUGCCUAUAAAUACUUAAUAUUUUCAAAAUUAAACUAAUAUACUUUUGUGUCUUAUGUCUUUAAAACUAUAUUUCCACCUUCCUAAAUGAGGUUUUUGCCUAAAAGUCUCACUUUUCCAUAGAAAGUCCCUUUAAAUUUGCUCUAACCUCAAUCUAACCAUUCUUGGCAUGCAGAGUAAAGACAAAAAAUAAAUGGGCAAGCUAGACAAAGUGUUUUGAAUCAACGAGAUUUUCUCUCUUUUAUAAAUGUAUUAUCUCUUCUACAUGGUCAACCUCUUGCAAAACCUCCCUUCUACUCUAUCUUAAGCUAACAUGAACUUAAAUAGAGCACCCAACGACAUCUCUAAGUAAGUCAAAAGAUUUAAAACACCUAAACCAUUAAUUUCUUAUACUUUAAGUUUGAUUUUCAAGAAUUAAGUUAAGAAAUGGUAUAAGUCAAAUUGCCUAUAAAUAUUGCAAAAAAAAAAAAAAAAGGAAAUAUAUAUGUAAAAUUUUCAAACUUGUAAUAUAAUCAAAAAAUAAAAAGAAAUGAAAACAUAUAGCUAAAUAAACUCUAUAAUUAUAGGUAUAUAAUUAAAGUCAAGCAAAAGAAUGAUUUCUAACAAUUAAAUAAAAGAAACAAUAAAGAAUCUUUCAUAUUAUGGAUGAUUUUGAAAGAUUGAAAGAGAAUGAUGAGAAAUCAAGUAUGGCUUAAUGUGAUUAAGAAUGAGUUGAGAGGUCGACAAUUUAUGAGAUUGAAAGAGAAUGUUCAAAAAGAAAAGUACAAAAAAUAAGUUUGAGAAAUUGAAACUUUAAGAUCUUGGGAAAGAAUGUUGAAGACAAAUGUAAAAAAAAAUUAGAAGCAAUAAUAUUUAGAAAACAUUAGACAAUUAAGAAAUAAUGAGUCAAUUAAAAGUGAGAUUAAAAGAUUCAAAAAGAUCGAGAAAAAAUAUAAUUAAGAAAUAAUCAAUGCAAUGAUAUGAAUUGUCAUUUCUUUUAAGAAAAGGAAAUAACAAAGAAGAUUAAAAUAUUUUGAAGACAUCGCAAAUUCUAGAGAAAAAAAAUGAUUAAAAAAAAAAGCAUAUAUGUCAAUUUGAUAAUUUUGUUUUCUUGGUUACAUGUUGAAUAAUGAGGGUGUAAAGUUGAGGGAAGUUGAGGAAAGUUUACAAUAACUUAUUUUUUAAUAGUACAAGCAAAAAAUUAAUACACGUUCAAAAGGAACAUAAAUAGAUCUUAAGGGUAUACCAAGCCGUCAAUCAAAAAGCAACGUUAAACCUCAUUAUAUACAUGCUAGAGAAACACAUAAACACAUGUAAAAAUAAAAUUAUUACAGAAAAACCAACAUCAAUCAAACAUAAGAAUAGAGAGUUAAACGCAAUCAUAAAAAUAACAUUCUUUGGACCAAGUUACUAAAGGUAAUAGAAAUCAAAUAUUGCUAAGGAAAUACGAAAUAUAGGAUAAAAGAAACCAACAAAAGGAUAUCCAAAAAAUCUCAAAGUAAGAGAACAUAAUGAACUCAAUAGCAAGAAAUACUAGCUAAGGGAAAUUCAUGGAACUAGAUUAUGGAGGGCAAUUAUGAAAAUAUGGGAGGAUUUUAAAAGCCAAGUUCACUUUAUUAUAGAAAAUGGGAGGAGAGUAAAGUUUUGGUUGGAUAAGUGGUGUGGUGAUGCUUCGUCGAAAGACUCUUUUCCUUCUUUAUUUAGCAUAAUUAGUUAAAAGAUGUGUGGAUAACAAAUAUGUGGGAGCAAGAUAGGGAUGGAGCACAUUGAAAUCCUUACCUCUCAAGACAAUUCUAUGAUUGGGAGUUAUAAAUGGUGGAAGUUUUUCUAUGAAAACUUCAAAAAAAAAAAAAAAAAAAGUAAUAAGACAGGCUAUAGAAGAUAGGAUGGUAUGGUCGAACUUGAGGAGUGGUAACUUCUCAAUUAAAGCUUUCAACUCUUUUUUAGCACUAGAAGGUUCACAACAUUUUCCAACUAAAGUUAUUUGGAACUCUUAGAUCCCAACGAUAAUGAGUUUUUUUACAUGAGAAAUAACAUGGGGAAGAAUAUUGACAUUAGACAAAUUGAAAAGUAGAGAGGUAUAAAUGUUAUAUGUGUAAAAGAGAAAAAGAAUUCAUUGAUCACAUGCUUCUUCAUUAUGUUUCAAUAGGAAUUCUAAGGCAGUUGGUUUAUUCUAUGUUUGAGAUACAUUAGGUGAUCCACUCUUCAACUAGAUUGAUGUUGCUAGGUUAAAAUAGGUUCUACAUGCUCAUUUGUCUUUUUUUAGAUCUUUUGGCUAAAAAGAAGUUAGAAAGUUUUUGUAAAUAAGGAAGAAUCAAAACAAUCGCACUCAAAUUCUUUUUUGUGUAAUUUUUUAGAAUGUGUUGAGUCAUUGUAUAACAGGUUUUUCUAACUAUAUGAUGGUUUUUAUUGAUUGGUUAGGAUCAAAGUAGGUGUAGGAAUGUGUUGUCUUUUUUUGGCUGCUCUUUGUGCUUGGUGCCCCUAGUAUACUCCCUAUGGUCUUUGGCAAGCCUUAGUUGCAACCUUUUUUGUAUUUUCUUUUUUUAUAUAUUUAUAUAUUUUAUUUAUCAUGUGUUUAUUUUUUAGCUACCGAUUUUCCUUUUUUGGUUGCUCUUUGUGCUUGGUGUCUUUAGUAUACUCCAUGUCCUUUUAUGUUACAUUAAAGACAUCUAGUAAAGGUUAGAAAUGGAAUUUGUCAAUACCUUGUUUUGAGGGUGAUCAAUGAACCUAUAAUAUGUGUAUAAUACAUAUGUGUAUAUAUGGGAACUCGAAUGUGUGUUAUUCUGAAAAAAGGAAAAUUGAGGCACGAUAUAAGAAUUCCCAUUACCCAAUUUCAAACACGAUAAUUCACAAUACAUCUUACAGUUCCAAUAUUAGUGGGAUUAAGUCUUGGUAAAGUUGCCCAUAGUUGUGCCCAGGUUAUAAGAUCAACCACUUGACCCAAUGCUUCAACAAAAGAGACCCUUGCCUAUUACGAACAAAUUAUUUCAAAAAACAAAAUAUAAUGUAAUUAAAAAAAAUGUAAAAAUCUCAGCGUGAAAAUUGAAUGUUUAGAAUGUUUAACCAUAAAGAAAACCCAAUUUUUCAAAAAAAAAAUUCUUAUGUUAUUUAACUAUAGAAGAAUUUUGGAAAAAUAAAAAAACAAAAUAAAUAAUACAAUAUUUCGUGUAACGUGGAUGAUAUAUCACCUAAGCAUGUAGAUAGAGAAAAGCAUGAAAUCCUAACUCGACUUUUCUGGUUUUGUUCCAAUAAUAUGGAUACAAUAUGAAUCUUAUUUUAAAAAGCAAGCAAACAACAAAAAUUUACGUUUAACAUAACAAUAAUACAAAUUAAGAUAAUAACCAAUAGAAUAGUAUGUCUUUAGUGCAACAUUAGAACAACAGGUUUUCUGAAAGGGAAAGGACAAGGAUAAAAGAACAAUGAAAUUUAUUCAAGUAACCUUUAGAUCCUCGAAGUUUCCUAAACUCUCAACAAAAGUUCAAAAGUAGAAUUCAAAAUUGCCUAUGUAAAUGAGAAAUUAAUUUCAGACAAAACGACUAUGUAAAAAUCAUACAAAUCCAAACAUAAAAUAGGAGAACACAUAAAAGCAUAAAAUUGAUUUCACAUCACAUCAGCAUCAAGAAGUGAAGUCAAUGGAAAAUCCAUAUUAUAUUGCCAAGAAGGCUAACACCUACACUUAAAACACUGGAAAAUGCUUAACAUAAGUUACAAGCUCAAGCUCAUUCCUUACUAAAUCAAAAAGAGAAAGAAUAGUGAAUAUAAAGCAUCUCUACAACAAAGUCACCAUGAGAAAAGAUUUGCAAACUCAAAUUAAUUUUUCUUUUUUUUAAUGAAUGAAACAUUAUUUAAAACAAGCCUUGAACUUAGACCCAAAAAGUGAAAAGUAUAUCAACUAAUCAUCUUCUUUUAGUAGAUAAAAUCCUUUUCAACUGCAACAAAAAUAUAAGAUGGGAUGAUGCCAAAACAACAAAUUCUAGCUAAGAAAAAAAUCAUUUCAUGGCUAACCUAAAAAAAGGCAUAGCUACAGUUUGGAAUGUUGGGUGAAAUUGUUCAGCUUGACAACCAGAAUGAAAUGUAGGAAAUAUUUCAUAUAUAUAUAUAUAUAUAGAUAACACGUAUGAUGCUACCUCCUCAGUAAAACUCAAAACAAAUCAAUCAGCAUGGUCAGAAGAACAUCCCAAAGGUAAAGGUAAGUCUGGACUAUGUCAAAACAUUUAAUAGUAGGGAUUUGGAAUGAAAACAUGGAACUAUUGAACUAAAGUUAAACUCUCUAGCCAUCUAGUCCUGUCUAAUUCAAGAUACCAAAACAGAAUGAUUUACAAUAAAUCAAGUGCCAAAACAUUUUUAUAAGCAUAGUAUGCCUAUAACAAUGACAUAAAAGAAUCAACCACAUCAUUAGCAAAGACUGGCCAAUGUGCAACUUUGACAUUUCCAAGUAUAGGCAGGACUUGAGAAAGUAUACCUUUUAGUUGUGAAGUGCAAGGCUUCAUUAGAUUUUAGAGAACAGGAGACACUUUAGUUUAUGGAGAAAACUUUCAUACGACCCAAACACCGUCAUCUGAAUAUAUAUUAUAAAGAAAAAAAAGUUUAAUGAUUAACCAUCAGCAAAAGCAAAAUCUGAAAGAAUUUGAACCAUGGCAGGUAAAGCUUAAUUUGGAUCUAAUAAAUAAAGAAAUAUUUCUUUCAUCAUCUGCCAAAGAAAUAAAAAUAAAAGAAGCAAAAAUCACUAAAUAGAAAACAGAAAUAUUGAACAGCAUAUCCGUCGAAAAAAAGGGGUAGGGAGAGUAAUUUGAAGUCAAAUAUUACACAACAUCAAAAAGAUCAUAUACAUUGUAACAAGAAUGUACAUAUAAAAAAUGAAAUGUUAAAAGAGCCCAUGGUCUCCUCCAUGUACUUUCUUCUAGGGUUUAUUCUCUAUUACACAAAGAAAGUCCUCCAUGCCAUGCAAUCGCACGGAAAGUCCAAACUGUGGGAUGGCAUGAUGCUCAUCUCAAAGCAAGAACUUAUAGAUUUAGAAGCUGGACUCAAUAGCCCACUUAUUCUCAACUAUAUAAUAUUAUAAUGUCCCUUUUGUAUGAAUCACCCAAGAAAUGAAAGCCUUUGUUUAAAAAAACAAGUUCUAUAAUAUGUAAAGAAUAGUUAUAAUGGAAGGAAACAGAGUUCUUCCAAGGGAAUAACUUAGCUCAGUGAUAUGACAAUACAAGUAGAAAACAAGUUAAAAAGGAUAAAGCAAGACUACUUGUGCUCCAAGUCAUGAUGGGUAAUUGUGACCUCCAGUGAGUCCUUACCAAGGAAAAAAGUAAGUGUCAAUCACCUUCAAAUCCAAUGUCUUCUCACAAAAACUGUUUAGCAUAUGAUCUUAUCAAUCUUAGAUUUAUUCAAUCUCCCAUCCAAAACAACAGAAAUCUUGGUACAAAACAAGAAGAGUAGUAAGCUCUAAAGGAUAUCUCUUCACCCAAUUUGGACUGGAAAGGAAAUCCAUAAAUUUUGUCAGUUGAGUGGCAUCCUGGUCAAUUGUGUGGCUCCAGUCAAUGCUUUGGGUUGGUCUCACCUCCUUACCCUUUUUGUUGGAGUAUUUGACUCCUUUUCUUCCAUACACGGCACUUAUAAAUUUUUCAAGUUUUAGAUCAGAAUCACCUAGACAGAGGAGGGUGUGGAGGAGAGAAUGCCAAGAAAGGAGAAGAACCCGUCACAACUAAAACACCUUGUAUUCUAACUAAUCCAAGAAAUUGCAAGUAAAAAUGAAAUAUGAGGUCACUUCCACAGGUUCUCCAAUAAUGAUUCACUAUUAUCUUAGACGAAAGCAAGUAUUUCAACUAAAGUAACAGUUUUCAGUUUCUAAGUGAUUAAGCAAAUCGACAAAACUUACUAGGUCAAGCAAAUAAGAGCCAAUGCAAACAAGUACCUGCUGCAGCCCUUUGCUAGUCUGCAUUGAGUUCCUACAUCAAAGAUGAAAAUAAAAAAAUAUAAUAAUGAUUAGGAGCGAUCCAUGAAAUAUCAAUUUGCAGUAAAGAAGGAAUCAUGAUGAAGGUGUUGUUCAACUUGAUAAAAACAUAAGGCUGUCAUUGCAUUGAGUGUUAUCAGUGUUUUCCAUAUCAAAUAAAAAUUAAUGGUACAGAUCAGUGCAUUACUUGAAAGGCUUGCCCCAGCUGUUGCAGACUUACAGUAAGUUACACGAUUCCAAGUACUAAUAAAACUUAUGUUGGAUUCUCAAAAAAUUUUGGGAAAUAUGAAGAAAAGAAAAUAAAGAGAAAAAGUGAAAGAAAAUAAAAAAAAAAAACUAAAAAAAAAUUAAAUAAAAUAAAUAAAUUAUUUUUAUAUAUUUUUUAAAAUUUAUUUCACUUAUUUUCUUAUAUAAUUCUAAUUAAUUUUAAUUAUAUUUGAUUUUCUUUUAUAUGAAAUUAUACGAAAAAACCAAAUAUAAGAAAACCAUUUCUUUUAAUAUUUUUUUGUUUCCUAUUUUCCAAAACCAAACAUAACCUAAAUUUUAUAGUCAACCCUAGAUAUUGAGUUUCUAUUUUAAUUUCAAAUAAAACGUACACAAAUAAAGGGGGCUAAAAUUCAAAUAUAUCAGCCAUUUUCAACCUCUCAAAACAAUAGCUACGUAACUUAGGGUUUUGAUGCACCUUGGACGAGAUCAUCUCUGCGGUGGCGAUCUUGGCCAGAUUUGCCAUGAAUGUUGGAUCGACGUCUCUCUUUUAUUUGGAAUACCCCAUCGUAUUCCCAAAUGACUGAAACAUUUUCAAAUCAAAAGCCUAAUUAAUAAAACACAUUCUUUGAGAGAGUGUAAUUUAGAUUCCAAAGAAACACCAAAGGUAAAGAGAACAAGUACCCGACGACCUCCUCGAGAUAAGUAGAGCAACAUUCAAGUACCAAAAUAGGGUUUCUGCAAUCGGGAAAACAUUAGAUCCACGAAUCAUUCGACGUAUAUAGAUAUAAACAAAGAGAAAAUGAGGAAAGAAUGGGACAUGGCAACGAUGCCUCUAUAAGUGCAGCCAUGGAGCUUGUCUGAUCAUAUGAGAUUCAUCUGCGAGCUGCAAAACCAAAACCUGCAGGGCCUCUGAAACAAGCAAAAGCGUAAAACAGUAAUAAACCGUUCAAAUCGGAGAAGUAAUCGUAAUUAGAUGGAAUUUACAGAACUGAAAGAAGCCAUUCCGGCUCCAACCAGAUCGUCUGUUCUUGACCGUUGGAGUCGGUGAGGGCGCACACACAUAUAUAUAUAUAGACAUUGGAGCCUUUUUAACCGCCUCCAGCUGGCUCUCUACAUACUUUUUAUUUUUGAAUCCUAUUUGAAAAUUGAAACUCCUUCCCCGCUGGCUACAUACUUUAAUCAAAUUAGAAACCUUCCUUUUGCAAGAUUUGAAUGAUACGUAUAUCUUAUUUGAAUUUUUUAAAAAUGUCUUCCUUUUUCAUGUUAUAUUUAAUAAAUAUUUCCUUUCACUAGCAACUAAACAAGACAUUUUAUUAUAAUAAAUUUGAAUUUUUUUUUUAUUUUAAUUGCUUCUAUUAACCUUUAUAUAUUUUUCGAACAAGAUAUGUUUUAGUCAACAUUGAGUCUAUCAAAUUCAAACCACUCAAAACAAAUACAACUUGUAUUUAUAAGGAUGGGAUAUAUAUGGCAGACUUUAACUUUAGUGUCAUCAUUUUUUGAUUGGUUUUAAUUAAUUAAAACAAGAAAAGGUUUUUUCUCCAAAAUUGGACUAGUCAGAGUAGCUUGUUGAACAAUAUGUCAUUAGACAUGAUUUUAAAAUUUUUAAUUGUAAAAAUAAAUUACCAUCGAAAGCGCCGCAAUUUAUAUUCACUAAGCUUCUUUUAUUUACACCGGAGCAUGUAAACACAAAGCCUUUCCGGUGCUCCAACAGUACAGUCUUGUAGGUAAUAAAGAGUAUGCAGUAUUCUUCCAACUGCCAUCGUUCUCUUGCAUUAUUAGCCAUACUGCAGGGUCCUCCUAGGUUGCCAUUAUUUUGUACUAUUUCUGGGCGGCACACAACUACACCCAUUGGCAUGGAUGUCAUAGACUAGCAAGUCUGUCGUCGGAAGCCAAAACGAUCAUUUUUGAGGUCAUACUCCACAUAAUAAUCCACAUGCUGAGAAUUCCCCAGAAUAAUAGAUGGAUCCGGAGUGAUUUCCAAAGCGUUGGUGCCAUUAGUGUCCAUGAGGAAACAAGCCAAGCUUUCCUGAGGACUUAUCCCAAAAUAAUUCUUUCCUGGCACCACCAUAUUUGCGCCACCUCUAAAUUGGUAAAUUAAAGGGGGGAUUUUUAUGGAUUUGUGGCCUGUGAAAUUAUAACAAGGUGUGAGACCGGUCUGGGUUUCUGCCUCGAGAGAUCUCCUGUACUUGGACAUCUGCUUUUUCAACUCAUUUGUCACUAUCUUAAAAACUGGUCCUGUCAUGUAUCCGGCGCCACCGUAACCAGAAUCUAUUAUGACACCACUUCUGCCGUCAGAUCCUGGAGCCAGAUACUUGCUUGGAAUCCUCAGGAGCUUGUUGCCGAUCUUGAUAUCUUUGACACCCAAGUGGUAAUAAAACGCCGAGGCAGGAGGGCUCUUGAGAAAGGGAGUGUAGCUAAGUCCUUUGGUUUUGCCAUCGCGGUAGUCCAAAAUCAACUUGCCGCUGUUCCGGGUGUCAUCAUAGUCGUGAGAAUUGAGACAGUAAGCAAACUUCUUCACACCCAUCUGUAUCGGCAACGAGAACAUUGAGCGACCGAACCCCGCAAGUGCGUCAGAAGAUAAUUCACGAGCAGCGGAUGUUGUACACCCAAGAAGAAAAUUACGAAUUGUUUUCCGGGGAAAUUUCAGGUUUUCUAAUAGAAAAUACCCGGAUGAUGCUCCUGUGCCAUACUGAGUACUGUAUGGACAAGCGUACGAGCAAUGUUUGGAAUUACCAUUGCAGCGGGGGCACCCAAGGUGAACAUAUGGGAAAUAAGUGCUUACACAUUUGGGGUUUCUGCAGUCUAAGAUCUUAGAAGACGACGAAAGUUUGGGAUCGAAGAUGGGGACCUUUUUGGGGUCGGCAGCUGAAAAAGAACAGUUGGUGCAUGUAUAGUCAGUUGUACACGGGGCCCAUACUACAUCACUUCCUGUGUCCACCAGGAAGGAGAGUUUUUGUGGAGGAGUGCCGAAGCUGAGAGAGAUGGAGUGACCCCCAUAACUAUGAGGAAAAAGAGAGGUUUUCACCGGAGGGUUGGUCUUACCAUGUUUCAAGUGAUGGGCUCUGGACAAGGAUGCAGAGGCAAGGGGUUUGCUUGUAAAUGUUGAGGUUAGAGGGAUGGUAAUGGUGGCAG